rnacentral:lncRNA from 1 species
AAACACUUACCUCAAACUUUCACGGCCAAAUCAAUCCUCAAUUACCGCUUUUCCUCUCAAAUUUGGCUCCAAAUCGAUUGUAUCUAUACAAUAAUGACUUCAAUACAUCAAUAAAUGCUAAACAAUGCCUAAUUAUAGCUUUCCAAGCAUUCUUCCCAAAACCCCAAAAUCGACCCUGGGCACGCUUGGCCAAAAUACGAGGUUCGGACCAAAAUCAAAUCACUCAUUCAUCCACGAGCCCGAAUAUAUAAUUAUUUUCAAAAUUCGACCCCAAAGCGAGGUCUAAAUAACAAUUAAUUAAAAAGCCCUAACUCUACCCAAAUCUCUAAUUUUCUACCCUUAAUCACAUGCUUUAGGCCUAGAAUUUCAAUAGAUGUUGAUGAAAAUGGAAGAAAAUAAGUUAAAGAUUACUUACCCAAGAGAUUAUGGUGAAGAAUUGCUUCAAAGAUCGCCUAAGAGCUUUGAAGAAGAAAAAGUUUUGUGAAAUUUUGAGAAAUCCCGUAAGUGUUCUGUUUUUGGCUUGUAAAAUCACUGGGCGAUUUUACUCUACGCGUUCGCGACAGACCCUUCGCGUUCGCGAUGGGUCAGGCUGGUUAGCCUUUACGUUCGCGUUAAUGGGCUCGCAAUCGCGAAGCUUUAGCUUCUCGAUCCCUCGCGUUCGCGUCCUACCGGUUGCGUUCGCGUAAGGUAACUACCCCUCCCCCUGCCCAGGCCCAUUUGGCCUUCGCGUUUGCGUGGCCAGGAACGCGUUCGCGAAAGUAUAGUUCACCGCUGCCUCGCGUUCGCGACCUGGGCUACGUGUUCGCGUAGAAGGAAAUUUCCUUCAGCAACUUUACUCAUCGUGUUCGCCAGGGUCCUCCCGCGAACGCGAAGAAGACCAUACCAAAACUGGAAACCUGCAACUUUCAUAACCGAAAAACCAUCCCGAAACACCUCUGAAACACUCCCGAGCUCUCGGGGCUCCUAACCAAACACACGUACUAACUCAACAAUAUCAUACGAACUUAUCCGUGCGAUCAAAUCGCCAAACUAACCUCAAAACAAUGAAUCAAACCUUAAAAUCAAGAGUUUUUUCAAAAACUUCAUCAAGUUGAAAUUUAAGAUUUCAAGUCCGAAACACGUCAAACGACGUUCGAUUUUAACCAAACUUUACAGAAACAUCGUAAAUCACAUAUAAGACCUGUACCGGGCACCGGAACUAAAAUACGAGCCCGAUACCAACACGUUCUAAUCAAAUUUCAUUUCAAUUUUCCUUAACAAUUUCAGAAAAAUAAUUUUACUUAAAAAUUUAUUCAUCGGGUUUGGGACCUCGGAAUUUGAUUCCGGACAUAUGCUCACGUCCCAUAUUUUCCUACGGACCCUCCGGGACCCUCAAAGUACGGGUCUGGGUUCGCUUACCCAAAAAUAUUGACCGAAGUCAAAUUUAUUCAUUUUAACAUCAAAACUUAGCAUUUUUCACAAAAUUUCAUAUUUAAGCUUUCCGACUACGUGCCUGGACUACGCACGCAAAUCAAGGCAACUCUAAAUGAGGUUUUCAAGGCCUCAAAAGCACAGAAUGGAUAAGAAAACAGGUGAUGAUCCUUUGGGUCGUCACAAGAAACCUACAUUAUAGGGGACUUAAGUAGUGAAGUACUAAUCUUUCAACGUUAACAUCACAGAUAUUUGUAAGAUUUUUCUGAAUAUCUUCUUUUGUUGAGCUACUCUUGUGAUUUUCUUUGUGUUUUUUUUUUACAAAUUUAAAGGCGCUGAAGGAUCAAACUGUUGCACAACAUUUUCAGGUAAGAGAAUAUUUACAAAUGAAUACUAAACUAUAUGAAUUCGUGGAUAGAAAAAAAUAGACUCCUUCACAUUCAUGAAGUUCACAUAUCAAUACAUGAAAAAACCUUUUCAACGAAGAAAAAUAAAGAAGAUUAGUAGAACCUUCAAGCAAUUAAAAAGUAACGGCGUGUAGACAAAAUGGACUAUAUAAGCUUAUGAGAGCAAGUCGUCACGAAAAUAAACUUGCAUUUACAAUCAACAUUUUAUGGACCAUAAGAGCAUAGGUUUUAUACAGAGAUGUAAAUGGCACAAACGUGAAGCACACGCUUAAACCAAAAUAACUGUACCGCCAUUAUUCGCCAGAAAAAGAAAUAUCAAAGUCAAACUAAGACGUAAACGCCUGUAAAGUCCUUUGGAUAUAUGAAUAUAUAUAAAAAACUCAUUUGAAUAGUUUUUUAGAUCCUGCUGUUAUGCAAAAGGAUAUGUCACAACCAACAUAACUUAAAGUACCACCCACAUGAUCAAACAGUGGCCCAUUGAAAUGAUAACAAAUAGUUUUUAGGUUCCUAAUAAUAACAAUUAAUAAAAAGCUUAUUCUUAGGCAAAGAAGGGGAGAGUAUAAUAAGAAGAUGUAAUUACUUAUGUAACUGAGGAAUUAUCACCAGUAACUCAGGCUAAAACUACGUACUAAUUCCUUGUUACAAUAUAAUUAUCAUACAGGUCAACACAUUUCAUUCAAAAAAUACAAGGUAUUAUUUUAUUAUUAAACUCCGGACGUCGACUAUCUUGAUUCUAUUUAUUCUCAUGCAUAAUUCAAUCAUGAUAUCUUAAGAUGUAAAAUGUAGAAUAUUAUGUAUUAGCAUUUCAUUAAUUUACCUUUAAGUAUGAAUUGGUUAAAUUUUGAGCAGCAACCUCCUUUUCUUUACAAAGCCUAAGAUCAUGCAACAGUUUCUGCGCAAAAUUCGACUUCUGAUAUUUUUUCUAAAUGUAGAACUGAAUUUUGGACUAAGUUUCUACAAGAAAGCUGCAAAAUCAAUAAAAGCAAAUAUAUAUUAAAGAAGAAUAUUCUUAGAUUGUGUUGCAGGUCAAUUGCUAGUAGAUUAAUGAAGUAUAAGAAUGUAAUCUGUGAAGUUGUUAUGUCACUUUGGUGAGAGGAGCUUUUUAGUGUUAGGUAAGGUGGAAAGUUCGAAAAAAAACUAUAACAUUUGAGGUUGAUUUUUUUUCUUCGUAUUCAUAUUUUACAGUCACAAAAUAGAAGCAACUAUAAGUCUAUACAAAUAAUCAUAACAUCAUCAACCUUUGAGUAUUCAAAAUAACAUAUCUUCAAUUGUGGAGCUGCACUUUCAUCAAAAAGUGUAUCGUCCAAUUUCAAAAUUUUGCCGCGCAGGCACUUGAAGUUUGAAGAAGAAUAAGAUCCCUUAAAUUAAAAAGAUGGUAUUUAGGAUAAAAUUUAUAAAGAUUAGUCCAUGUCUAUGAUAUAUCUUAAAAAAAAACAUGCAUCCACAAUCUUUUGUUUUUGUUUGUCGAAUCUUGUAAGUUUCUCACCAUGUUAUGAUAGUAUUGGAUUCCUAAAAUAAAAUUCUGGAAGAAGUUUCUAGUCUGAAAUGAAAAUAACUAAAAACCACAAUGAGAGAAGUAUUGCAGAUAUGGAACCAAUGCUUUUAAAAACAUGAAAGCUGGCAUUUUAAAAUAAUAGAAUUGUGACAAAGUGCCUCCAUUACCAUUUCAUUAUCGUCCAUAAUGGUAGUCAAGGUGAAAAUUGACUACUAACAAAAUAAAGAUAUUUAAAUCUACCUCAUUCUCACUAAACCUUUCCGCAUAGCAGAUGUGCACAAAUAGUUUUCCCCCAUCUGCAUAUUCCAUAAAAGUAGCAAGAUGAGUGGGAAUUAUUAUCACCUGUAUUCCACAAAGAAAAUGAACAUUAGUUAGGAUAGCAAUUCCUUAGCUUUUUGUUGCCAUUGUCAAAAUAUACUAACAUAAAUACACAAGGGCCAUAAAAAUAAACAACAUAUAACCUCACAAAAUUGCCUUGUUGAAGUGAAUUAUGUUUGAUUGUCGAAGCGAUUUAUGAUUAAUGAUAUCCCUUGCUACAUUCUUACUAAUCUAAAACAUCUCAACUUUAUAGAAUAUUACAUAUACAACACAAUAGUUAGACAAUGAGCAUAAGAAACUUAAAUUAAAUGUAAUUUUUUUAAAAAUAAAUUCAAUAUUUGACGAUAAACGAUUGUAAUAAUACAAAUGUUAUGCCAGCUCUCAAUGUAUUUCAUAUCCACAAAGCUCUGUCUCUAUAUGCUUCAUGAGUCUCGCCACACCAAAUUAGCAAAGCAUCUUCUUCAAAUAGCAAUGAACAGGAGCACCAACAAUUUAGAUAUCAGUAACAAUAAUAUUAAUAAGUUUGACGACAUAAACUUAGCCAAUAAUCACUGCAUUGGGAAUAAAAACUUACAAGAUUCAUCAAAAAAUCCUCUUUAAAAUGCUUGUAUUGAGACCUCUUUUUAGCCAAUUCCAUCACAUAUAACGUGUUCUCAAUUGGCAAAUAGCCCAACAAUAGCUGCAAAAAAUACAUGUAAUUAGGAGGAAGAGUCAUCCAAACUAAAAUUUUCUCUAGCAACAAAGUAUUUGGAUGGAAAAUUGCACCAAUUACAUAGUCAGACACAUUCCACAUAAAUAAUUGUCGGUAAUAUAUGCAUCUAUCACUAACUAUAGUUAAGGAGUAGUAUGUAUUCUGACAUCCAUCCUUGAUAAACUAAUAUAAUCUGGUAUAAACAUCAGGUGUGAGUAAGUUUUUUCUCUUUUUCGUUCUAUUAUCUGCUUUGGUUAGCUCAAAGGUGGUCUCUAGUAUGCACUUAACAUAGUUUAGGUAUGUUACAUUAGCUAGAAAAGUAAUCUGGAUCUUUUUGCUCUUCAACAAAUGAAAUGUUGGAGAAUUUGCAGUUAAAGCUUGUUACACUUUAGGCGCAUAUACAUACCAAAAGUAGUUUUAUGGAACUCUCAUGUUAUUAUUACUUUUUGUAGUAAGUCUAAUGUGCAUAACAUAAGCUAUGUCUGAGAUAAGAGAUGUUCUAAGAAGUAUUUGUCUUUCUUAAUUCAUAUGUUAAAGUUAGUUGAACCUGUUUUCUGAAAAAAGUCAAUCUCCAUAGUUGCUGCCAAAUCAACCAUGAAAAUCUGACAAAAAACGCAGCGAAAAGCUCCAAGAAAUAGUCCAAAAAGUCGCAUAAACCCCAUAAAAACCACCUCUAAAGCCACCAUAACUGCUGCAAUAAACCAGCCAUGAAUUACUUCUAAACCUCCAUUAAAAUGACCCUUAAACCCCAUCAAACCACCACAAGAAUGACCCCAGAUUAGCCAUGUAAAAGACCACCUGAAAACUCCAUAAAACCAGUUCACAAAGCAGUAAAAACUCCUUUAUUAACACCAAAAACUCCUCCUAUAAAUUUGCUUCUUAACAACUGCAACACUUUUGUAGCUUUUGAACACAAUAUGCAUUAACUUUCUGAAGUUUCAUGGAUAGUUCCUCUGAUGAUUAUUGUCAGAAAAUAGCAAGCAGAACUAACAAGGGAAGGAAUAGAAUUAGAUUUUGUAUUCUAGGAGCAGACAAUAUCAGUUCUUCUAUAGUGCAAAUAUAUAGAACCUUAUUAAUUACACGCAACUACUUAAAAAGAAUCUCCUAACUAUGAGUUUACGACUAUAGAAGUAUCUCGUAUAAAUUUUAGCUUCACCAAUACAUUUAUUCAACAUUCGAUUAAUUCAAAUAACUAACAUGUUGCAUAAAAAAAUUAACUGAAAGAGUCAACUAAGUACUAAUUUAAGAAUUAGUUUUUAAAAUAUGAAUGUAGAUCAAUAUUUACGUUGGAAUUAGUGCAUAAUUGUGAAUCCAACUUUCAGAAACAGAAAGUUAGAUACGUAUACUAUACAUAAUUGUUUAUGUAAAAUUGGAAAUGGAGCAAUUUCGUAGACCCUUGAAGUUAUGGGGAAUAUACGAAAUAUCAUAUCAGUCUUAGCAAGUACUUCAACAAUACUGGAAAAAAUAUUGAUUUUUCUGUAUUUUUUCUUCAUCCUAAUAACAUACUCCUUAGAAAGGUAGAUUCAUAUAUAUCAUAUUGCUGAUAAAUUUCAUAUACAUACAAAUUGGAACACAACGGUGAAUCCUACUUUCAGAAACAGAAAGAGAAAUAUUGGUAGCAUACAUACUCGUUUCAUUAGUACAAUUUCAUAUAUUUGAAGAUUGUGAAAAAUUUAUCCAUUAAAGUAGCAUAGAAGAGGACUACAUAUAAUCGUUUCAUUAGUACAAUUUUAUGUACUUGAGGAUUGUAAAAAAAUUAUCCAUUAAAGCAGCAGAGAAAGGAUUCACAUAAAAACUAUGUGAAAGUAGAAUGUUACCUAUGCAUUGGGUAAAAUCUAACUCUAUGGAAUAUGACAUUUCAGACUUGAAACGAUUCGGAUUUUUCACAUUUGAAAACUCCAAAUUAGAUUCAAUUGCAUCGAUGCUUGAAAUUUGUGUGGUUGUAGCCAUAUUUGCAAAGUUAUUGUAGUACUGAGCGAAGAAAAUAGGGAUUGAAAAAAGAAGUUAACAUAUGAAAUCACAUAAAUCGUGGGUGAUUCUCCGACUGUUUGAGUUAGUUUAGAAUUAUUGUUGAACCCCACGUUUGGGAAGAUGAUGAGUCAUGGCUUAUCCUCACGACUAUUCUUUGUAAAAAAACGGCCAAUUCCAGGAAGUAUUUAUAUUUUCUUAAUAUAAUUGCCGAGUUGAAUAAGUAAAUAAAAUAACUGUCAUAUGUGAGAAGUAUCCAUUUUUGUCAAUAUAUCUUUCUGUGCCUUUUCAAAAGGGAAAUAUUUUAAAUUUUUCUUAAUUUUCAAGUCUUGUAAAUAAAUAAAAUAAUUGCGCUAAAUAAAAUAACUGCCCAAUAUGGCAGGCAUUAUCAAUCUUUUUUUGUGAAUUCGUAAGGUUGAAUCUUUUUUGCCUAUUUUUAGUUUCAAAUAAUUUUAAACUCCAACUUUAUUGGAGAUGUGUCCAAAAAAAAAUAACACUUGUUUAAUUUAAUUGUGAUUAUGCCACUUGGCAUUAUUACAUGCUUUUGCUUCUCCUUUUAUAUAUAAAUAGAAGAUAUAAAUAGAAGGUUUAUAUGGACUAGGCACAAAAUUUAGAAUUUAUGAAAAAAUAAAAACUUUUAAAAUACCCGAUAUAAAAGAAGUCGUGGAUAUUUGUAUGAUUACCAAUUAUCUCAUUAAGGGUAAACAUUUAAUAUUAAAAUUAAAUUAUUUUUAAAUAUAAAAAAUAGGAGUAAUAUUUUUUGGGAUACAUAAAAAAGGAACUAUGUCACAUCCAUUGAGAAAUUGGGAAGAGAAAUUAUAAUAAUAAUAAUUAUUAUGAUGAGGUUUAAAGGAAAGAAGGUUGUAAUUCUCAGGUAUUUUGCCCAUUUUUAUAUUCAGAUAUCGAAGUUCAGACUUUCAGAGUCAAACCAUAUUCAGUAAACCAAUUAUAGAAAGUUGUCCACCUUUUCCCGUGAUUCUUUUUCCGUGAUGUAUUACUAGUGCAGUUGAGUUCCAUAAACCUCCAACCUUCUUCUAUGACUGUACAGCAAUGGCUGCCAUUUCAGUUCCUCUCCUCACCCUUCGAUCACCUCAAACCAACCGCCCAUUCCCUUCAUUCUUUAAUCUCAACCGUCCCUUUUCAACUUCACUCUCCUCCAAUUGCAGCUUCAACCAUUUAACAGUCUCAAAUAGUAGUACUUUUUCUAACCAAGCCAUCACCGAAACAACAACCUCUGAUUACUCUACCAUCAAUGUCCAAAACGACGACGCUUUGGACACCACUCUUUUCGUUAUUCGGGCCAAGAACCGAAUUGGCCUUCUCCAAAUCAUCACCCGCGUAUUCAAAGUCCUCGGGCUCACAAUUCAAAAGGCCAUUGUUGAAUUCGAAGGUGAGUUUUUCGUGAAGAAGUUUUUCGUCAGUGAUUCUAACGGUAAGAAGAUUGAGAAAACGGAACAUUUGGAGAAGAUUCAGAAGGCUUUAAUGGAAGCCAUUGAUACUGGCAGAGUAUCGCCGUCGGUGGCGGUGGUUAGUGGGAGAGGAGUGGUUGUGAGGAAAGCUGGGUUGAACUUAGGAGAGAGGAAAGCAAAAGCAGAGAAGAUGUUUGGGUUAAUGGAUGGGUUCUUGAAGAAUGAUGCAGUUAGUUUGCAAAAAGAUAUUCUUGAUCAUGUUGAAUUUACUGUUGCUCGAUCAAGAUUCAAUUUUGAUGAUUUUGAAGCUUACCAGGUACUCCCAUUUACCGAUUUAUUUGGCAUUAUUUGACUGUGCAUGGAGUUUAAGAAAGAAGUUAGACUUCGAAACUUGUGUAUUAGACAAGCCUUAGACAUUGUUUCUCAAUAUAGAAAGGUGCCAUUAUGUUAGGGACAAACUGAAAUGGGAAGUGUUCCACAUAAAAUGAGACAGAUGGAGGAGUAACUUUUAGCAUGUUACUAAUGAAGUUUGCACAAUGCAGGCAUUGGCGCAUAGUGUCAGGGAUCGGCUUAUUGAACGAUGGCAUGAUACUCACCAGUAUUUUAAGAAGAAAGACCCCAAGCGACUGUACUUCCUUUCGCUUGAGUUUCUUAUGGGUACUUGACAUUCACAUGCUCAUAGAGUCCUUUUCUUUGCUGCAUCUAAUUGGGGCACCUUCCUGAAACAAGUACUUACUUGUUAAGAGAAGUCUUUAUGGUUUUCCUGAAAGUGAAGUGCUCUUAGUUUUGUCUAAUUAAGUUUUUCUUUUUUACUUGAUCUGUCAGGUCGUUCUCUAACUAACAGUGUCAUAAACCUUGGCAUCCAGGACCAAUAUGCCGAUGCUUUAAGUCAGCUUGGGUUUGACUAUGAAGUCUUGGCAGAGCAGGUUGGACAAUUCUUGAUGGCUGUUUCGGGUUCUCUAUAGCUUCUUCCUUUUUGCCUGUAUCAUUUCUCAAACUAAAAAAUAAUGAGUGUUUUAGUGGUUACAUUGGAUCAUUUGAACUUCCAUACUAAUUUAAGUUAAUCUAGAAUAUUUACUACUCCAUCCAUUUCAUUUUAUGUUAAGGUGUUUCAUUGGUACGGAGAUUAAGAAGGACCUAAAAACUUGUAUACAUUGUGGUCUUAAGCAUAUCAUGACAUAUCUGUAAAAUGAUGUCAUCAAGGUAAAAUGUGAAAUUUAAAUAAUUGUGUCCCCUAAAAUGGAAUAGAGGGAGUAGCAUUUAAAGGACUUGAUAGGCUAAUGCUUGCAAAUGAAGAUGCAAUAAUUCCGAAUUCAUAGGACAAGUUUAUUGAUAGACGCGGCAUUGCACAAUUAAUGAAAUAUUGUUGAUGCUCAUUCAUCCUUAAGCACUGGUAAUUAUUCUGGCAAUCGAUCUAAUUUUGAAGAACGCUUGCAUUUACAAUUGAGUAACUUCUUCUCGAUCUUCGUCUUUACUCACAGUUAGCUGUUCUGUUGCUCCCCUAAAUAAGUUAUCCUUGGUGAUUUUGUUUCUAACGUUCAUUCAUUUCUAGGAAGGAGAUGCUGCCCUUGGUAAUGGUGGCCUAGCUCGCCUUGCAGCUUGCCAAAUGGAUUCCCUAGCGACAUUGGACUACCCAGCUUGGGGGUAUUGUUUAGGCUCCUUUUUUCAUUGUCUAAACAUCAUUUGCUCCUGAUAUUGUUCGCUUCUUCACGGCCUUAGGUUUUGAAUCCCCUCACUUUUUCCUGAACAGUAGAAACAGUCAAGAAGAAUUGGGGUUUUCCCUAUUUAUGAAUAACAUCCUGCUUCAUGGCUGCAUUUUUGCAUCGAGAUGAUAGUCACCCAUGUAAUACUAAGAUCAGAUUUUUCGUAUUGUUCUUUCAAUCCUUUUCUUUUCAAUCAAAAUGAUGUUAUGAUUUCGAACCCAAAAUGAUCUUUGAUUUGGAUUUACUGAGUUCCCUAUGUGAAAUUGAAAUUCUACGAUCUGAAAAAUGGUGUCUCGCUUUUCUUCAAAGAUUUUGCCCUUUAUCAUCGUGAAGUUUAUCUAAAGAAAGUCAACUGAGUUGGAUCCUCUACAUUUCUUUGUCUUCAGUUAUGGACUACGCUAUCAAUAUGGAUUAUUUCGUCAGAUCAUAGUGGAUGGUUUUCAACAUGAACAACCUGAUUUUUGGUUGAACUUUGGGAACCCCUGGGAGAUUGAACGUGUUCAUGUGUCUUAUCCAGUCAAGGUUUGAAAGUAUUUAAUUUUCCAUCUUUGUCAGUAAUUUAUCCAAAUGAGAUGUUUUCUUUUGUUGUUUUAGUUUGGGGUGCAUAUGAUGUUAUCUUCUUCAAUUUUCUUGAGUGAAACUUCUACACGUUGCUAACUGGCAAUUUACUUUGUAUGCAAGUUCUAUGGGACUGUUGAAGAGGAAGUUUUAAAUGGAAAGACAUGUAGAGUUUGGAUACCUGCAGAAUCAGUAAGUGCUCCUGUAUUUAAUUAGUCAUUUUUUCUAGAAAUUUAGACUUAUUGCAUGUAAUAUUGCCGAAUGACUAGCGUGUUCGUUUACUUGUAGGUUGAAGCAGUGGCUUAUGAUAAUCCAAUACCUGGUUAUGGAACGCGAAAUGCCAUCAACCUACGACUUUGGGCUGCUAAACCAAGUGAUCAAUAUGAUAUGGUAACCUUUGACAAUGUUGGCUAGUAAAUGUUUCUGACGAGGUCUUGUCGGGAUGCAGCAGAGGUCUAUCUGUAUACUCUUAAAUAAUCUGGUCAUUUUAAGAAUCUAUGGACUUCUUUUUCUGUACCAGUGGUCUCUCUUUCACCAUGUGGCUUUUCCUUCUUAUUAUAUGUUUUUCUGUGGGAGGGACUGACAAAGGGAUAGACUUCAUAAUCAAUUUAUUCCAGUUUCUUUUCUCUGACUGGAUUGUGGUAGUUAGUCACUUUCUUCUUUUGUCAAAUGUGAAUAUCGCACCUAGUGUUGCACAGAUCAGAACCCUUUUAGUUUCUUAAGAAUAUGUCUUAAUGUGUACUUUGACAUCUGACUAUCUCUUAACUUCUACAUAGUACCCAUUUCAUCACUUGCAGGAGUCUUACACCACUGGAGACUAUAUUAAUGCUAUUGUUAACAGACAGAAGGCUGAAACCAUAAGUAAUGUGCUGUAUCCUGAUGACCGUUCUUACCAGGUAUUUCCAUUCUAUAUAGUGUCUUGAAAAAGCGCGUAAAUGUAGAGUUCCUUUAGUUUCUUGGAGGCUGGGAAGGGGCCUCAAUUACUGGGAGAAGCCAUUUCAUUCCCAAGCAUUAAGAGUGGCUAGUAUUUCAUAUAAUCUCAAUUAAUAAUGGGUAUACUGUACAGUAUAACAGUACCAUAACUUUAUGCCUACAAAUUAUAUUGAAUGAAGUAAGAUCAGUAUGAGAUGAUGAUGAGGAAGAUGCCGUUAAUAGAUGCAAAUAGAACAGAUAAUUAUCAAUAGAGAUAGUGAAUUGAAGUUCAAUCGUAAUUGGUUUUAGUCUUUUAGAUGCUAAUUGGUAUCCUUCUUUAUCUAAUUAUAUGUUCUGCAGGAUACUACUUUGGGUUUUCUUCCUUUUUUGUCUUCCUUAUUGUACUCUGACCAUUUUGAUUUGCAUAUUCCAUAACUUUCUUUGAUGUUCUUUCUUCAGGGUAAGGAACUGCGGUUGAAGCAACAGUAUUUCUUUGUUUCAGCAUCACUGCAAGACAUAAUAAGGAGGUUUAAGGAUUUACAUAAUAACUUUGAUGAGUUUCCAGAGAAGGUAUUAUGGGCAUUUUUGGGGUCUGUAACUCAUGCAUUUAUCAGACAAUGGGCUCAAGUCACGUGCUCCUUGCAUUUGUUUUCUUAUCAUAGAUAAACAAAUAUUUGUUUCCUCAUUGCACUACUGAUCAUUUUGGCCUGAAAUGCUAUUAAUCAAAUAAGUUAUUCAGCAUAGACUUAGCAAAGUUUGUUAACAGACUUCGGUUACUUUGUGUCAAUAUGAAAGGAGUAGCAUGAAACAUAAGCCUCAUUUAUUAGGGCAUGAUCCCUAAAACAGUUGCAUGUUUCACGUUCUAGAAAUCCAAAACAAAGUCGAUACAGUGCAAAAGAAUGUCGACAUUGGGUUGGCCACACUUAAUCUGAGCUGGCCUACUCUCUGUGAUUCAUAAAAAUGCCGUAUUUUGAUGAUUUAUGCAAGAGAUUAGGAUCUCCAAAGGAAUAGGGAAUAUUAAGCUUGGUUUUAUUUUACAUCCAAAUACUCAUGGACUAUCUGCUAAUUUAUUCUUUCGAGUUUUUCCCUUCAGGUUGCUCUUCAGAUAAAUGAUACACAUCCGUCAAUUGCCAUUGCUGAGGUAAUGAGAGUGCUUGUUGAUGAAGAACACUUGGAUUGGAGCAAAGCAUGGGGUAUUGCUUGCAAGAUUUUCUCAGUCACCAUUCACGCGGUACAACCUGAAGCACUUGAGAAAGUUCCCAUAGAUCUCCUGGGUAGUGUUCUUCCUCGGCAUUUAGAGGUUUGUUUUCUUUCAGAUGAUUUUGUAUUUUUCCAUAGGAAUCUUUUGGUCUGUGCUUGAAUAUCUUAAUGCUUCAGACCGUUUCAUCAGAGUAUGAACAUUGUUUUUGGUUCAUUUGUCAAAAUUUCCACGUCUCUGUAACUUCAGUCUUUUAAUUGAGUUUCUUCUCAAAUUACUUGUUCUUUUGGUUUUACUAUAAGGUAAGUAAUUUUAUUAAUAGUGGGGAAACCUGUGCACAAGCCGUAUCACAAAAGGUAGAGAACCUACACCAUAUUUUUUUGGUUAAAUCACAGAUCUGUUGCAGUUUUCUUGCAGCCGUAAAGUGUGUCGUCCUUUUUUGCACCAAAGCUAUCUCAUUUAAUGUGUUUAUUAAUUGGGGAGUGAUUUUCAAUUUAUUUUGUGAAUAAUCUCUUCAUCCUGAUUUAAUGAUUCACUUUUUUUUCCAGAUUAUAUAUGAGAUAAACUAUUGUCUCAUGGAGGAGUUAAAAAAGAUACUUGGUCAGGACUAUGAUAAACUUUCCCGAAUGUCAAUUAUUGAGGAAGGUGCUGUGAAGGUAUAGAAGACAACCCUUUUGUGUUCUAUUUUUGAUAACACUACUUCUUGAUAUCCCAAAUUAACUAUGAUGUUUUCCAACAUAGAACACAAAAAGUAAUCUGUACUAGUGACGUGUAAAUAUCCCAAUAAUGUACUACAACAACAACUAUUUCUCAAUCCCAAGCUCGUUGAGGUCGGUGAUAGAAUCCUCAGUUACAAUAUCGCUUCAUUUAAACCCGUAGCAAUCCAAUAUUAUGUCCCAUAAUACUAAGACCGCAAAUUUCCACAUUCAUAACUAGGGUCAGCAAUUAUCUUUUUGAACUCUGUGAUGCUUGUGUUACAUCACUUAUGUUUGUAUCACUCAAACAAAGAGGACAGAGCGAGGGCAGAAGGGAGAGAGGGGAGAGAGGCCAAAACCAAUGCAUUCUUUUGAUUUUAUGCGAUACGCAUUCUUUUGACAACCCACAAUGCAUUACUUGAAUUAUGCCACUUUCACUUAUUGAAAAAUGGGUGCGAGCUCGAAUAUUGGUUUUUUUUUUUUCUGCAAUUGCCGAUUUUGAUUUUGCUCCUCAUAUGGACAGUGUAUUAGGAUGGCAAACCUGUCACUUGCAUGUUGCCACACUGUGAAUGGCGUUUCCAGACUGCAUCUUGAGACGCUUAAAACAAGAGUGUUCAAGGUAAUUUGGAUUCUGCAUUUUUCUGAUUUUUUUCUUUUCCCCAUUAUUUCAUGAGCACUUGAUAUCAAGCCUGCAGCAAUGUAUCCUUUUACCUUCACUAAAUAAGUGUCACUCUAUAAGGCCUGUUUCAGAGGGUGUUUUCCCAGGAUUUCUAUCCAAUUCACUUUACUUUUUUUAAUUUUUUUUUUGUAUUAAAGAAUAUAUAUAUAUAUAUAUAUAUAUAUAUAUAUAUAUAUAUAUGUGUGUGUGUGUGUGUGUGUGUGUGUGUGUGUGUGUGUGUGUGUGUGUGUGUGUGUGUUUAUCCCCUUGAUAUAGCUUUUCUGUUGUUAUUUGUUCAGCUUCAUUUCAGAGAUUGAUAGAGAAAGCAUAAUUGUCUAAAUUAGAGAAUUAACUGAUCAGCCUGAACAAUUGUAUCCCAUUAAUUUCCUCCCUCCAUGCUAAAUGACCACAGUGAAUUAUGCUACAAGGUGUAGUUUGAUUGAUAGACAAGUUAUACAGAGAUAUAAUUCUAUGAAUAACAUCCAAUGGAUUUUAAAUGCAUAUUCAUUUAUUGUUGGAUGUUUGGUUCAUCGUAUUAAAAGUUAGAUAUACAAUGUGUAAAUUAAAACAUGUUUUGGUUUAAAGUGAAUAAAAAUUUGUUUCCAAUGACACCUUUGGCCUAUUCAUCAUUUCUUCUGAACUUUCAGAACUUUUAUUUGGUAGAAGUCUGGCUCAACUAAGAAUGUUCCAGUAAACAUUUAUGUAAGAUUCAUUUCCAUUUUUAUUUUUGGCAAAUGAAAAGAGCGUCCAAUAAGGUUUUGAAGAUGGAAAAUGAAGACUCGCCCUUCUUGAAAUUUCUACUUAAAGCCUGAAGACUGAUUUGGUGAUCACCGCUUUAACCCAGGGUUCCCAUUUUUGGUUUUCUAUAAAUUUAACGUUUACACAUUCUUUUUUGAAACAAGUAUUUAACAAUUACACUUUUGUAACACCAACGCCAAAAAUUGGUUUAGCAUUUACAAUAGAUGUACAAGUUUUAGUAAGAUGCUUCAAAUUCAAAAUUAUUAUGCAUUUUUAAAUAACACUAUCAUAAUUUUCUUUUCAUUUUCUAAAGUAUGGAACUUAUUUUGAGGGCAUUUUGUUAUUUUAGGUGUUAUUAUCCAGGUAUUGCUAAUGCAGGUAGUGUUGUUCCACAUUAUAUUUGGCAUAAAAUAGUAAUAUAUAUAUAUCAUCACAUAAGUACGUGGGAUCAUAGAUAUGGGAAACGAAACUGGCAACCAGUCGUCCAAUCAGUGCAAAGUUUCGUAUGAUAUCUCAUUUGAAUGGAACCAAAAAACUGUCAUCAUAAAUUUUUCUCAUAACCUAAGAGUUAGCUAGCAAAAAGAAUAUUUCAAAAGGAGAUCAUUUUUUUAAUUGCUGUGUCUUGCAGGACUUUUAUGAGCUGUGGCCUCAGAAAUUUCAGUUCAAGACUAAUGGAGUAACUCAGGUGCAUAAUUGUGACUGCUAGUUGUGAUUCGACUUUUUCAAUUUCAAGAUUUCUGCCUCAGGCUUUGACUUGACAGUUAUUCUUCAAAACUUCCUGACAUAGUUCAGAAACUUCUGAUUUUCCUUUACUGCCUUUUGUAGGUAUUGUACUUACAUAAUAGCAAGCUUCAUAUCCAAUCUCAAAGUUUCUGUAUCUUCUUUCUGACAUCAUAAAUAAGUUUUAUUUGGGAAUUGGGGGCCUUUUGUUGGAGUUUAAAAUGGGCAUGCAAAAAGAUGAUAUGAAUUAAAUUUGAAGCACUGUGCUGUGCUCUUCAGUCUUCACAUUUUGAAUUGCUAUUUGUCAGCGCCGUUGGAUAGUGGUGAGCAAUCCUAGCUUGUGUUCAAUUAUUUCAAAAUGGCUUGGGACAGAAGCAUGGAUCCGUAAUGUGGACCUCAUAGCAGGUUUACGAGAAUAUGCAGAAGAUCCAGAUCUACAUGCCGAAUGGAAGAAUGUAUGAGAUCUUUCUUUGCAAUCUCAAUCUGAAAGGAGUACCUGCUUAUUGCUUUUCAGUAUAAUACAUUUUUUACUUUUGACUUGUAGAUGAAGAAGGUUAACAAAAUGAGGCUGGCUGAGUACAUUGAAACACUUACAAGCGUGAAGGUUUCUGCACAUACCCAUUUCACUUCCUUCUCUGCUGGUUUCCUACAUGUAUGUUGUCACCUGACCAAGCUAUAUACAUUAUAUUGCAGGUCAGCUUGGAUGCAAUGUUUGACGUGCAGAUAAAACGAAUACACGAAUACAAAAGACAACUGCUCAACAUAUUAGGCAUCAUCCACAGAUAUGAUUGCAUUAAGGUAUCCUCUACAUUCCUCUUCUUCUUAGAAUAAUAUUCCUGAGCAAAACCUGACUGUCGAGUGGAGAUAUAACCACUUACGAACGUACUCCCUGAACUAGUUGGUUAUGCAAUAAUCACCUUGUUCAUACUUCAGGCAGGCCAGCUUAGGUAAUGGGAAGUGGCUUAGAAGGUGCCUGAAAAAACUUUCUACCUCAUUAUGGAUCACCAGCAUUUUGUUUUCUUUUGGAAGUUCAAACUCUGAAUUUUUGAGCCUAAAGACAUCUACUUUUGCUAAUUCUGGUUCAGAUGUUGUAUCUGAUCAAGCUUUGGGCAUUUGUCGUGGACUUAUGUGCCUAUGCGCCAAAUAUGAAGCCACAGAAACUAAAUUUGGUUGAAUUCUUGUUAUAGAAUUCAUUUUUGAAAAUAGAACAGACCACAUGAUUUCACUACCAGCUGCAGAAAUAUCACGACCAACAGAAACGCAUGUCUCAACUAAAAAAUUUCUUCUUCUUGCCCAUUGAAUCUUUGUUUCUGUCCAGUGGCCUGAUAUUUGGGAGCUUAUCUUUUUCUUUUUUUUUGGUCAUUUCUUCAAUAGAAUACUCAUGGUUGCUCCAAAAUUACUUUUACUGACACAAAAAGUAUCUAACUUACCUUGUUUAUUCAGAAUAUGGAUAUGCCUAUAAGUAUCAGUCUAUUUUCUAGAAGUUCUGUUAGCUCCUUAUUAUCCUUCACAGCUAUUAUUAUCGGUCGAACUGUACUUGAUGAAUCAUCUCUCUGAUACAUUAUACUGUCAAUAUUUUUUUUGAAGAAUAUGGAUGAAAGUGACAAGCGGAGAGUUGUACCUCGUGUAUGUAUAAUUGGUGGGAAAGCUGCCCCUGGCUAUGAAGUUGCAAAGAAGAUCAUCAAACUUUGUCAUGUGGUGGCUGAUAAAGUUAACAUUGAUCCUGAUGUUGGGGAUCUCCUGAAAGUGGUAGGACAAGAAUUUGAUUUAUUUGUUUGUAACCUCAAUUAUGUUCAGUCUCAUCAUGUUUAAAUGAAACCAUAGUCCAUCCUUUUCUCUAUGAAAAUGAGAAUGUCCAUUCAGAAACUUGAUCUGCUUCUGAAAAAUACAACAUGGAAUGAGCAAAGAUAAUUAUGAAAGAACAAGGAAGAGAAGAGAAUAGCAAGCAGGUUCGAAGCAUUACUUUGUUAGUCCCUAACAAUCUGUCCCAUAAUGUCUUCUCCUGAAUGAUGCGUUCAUUCUAGAGUCAGCCGUAAUUGGAAACUUUUGAGGAAAGUUAAUGAAAACACUUCUACCAUUUGGCUGCAGAAUUAUGAAAUUGUUGUCUUACAAGACUUCACUGUGCCUACAUAUUGAUCUGGCAUGUCAUUGAUCUAAAACAUUCUCAGGGUUUACUCUAUAUGUGAUCCUUGCUUUCUUUUCCCCAUCCCCUACUAUUAAUGUACUUUUCCUGGAUUGUUGAUAUGAAUGUUACUACUCAGAAUUUUUAUACUUCCAUUUUCUAAUGUCAUUAUAGAUAGCUAAAACUUAGGAGAAAUGAACUCGUCUUCUGAUAUUUCAGGUUUUCAUCCCUGAUUAUAAUGUCUCUGUUGCCGAACUAGUAAUUCCGGGAACUGAUCUUUCACAGCACCUAAGGUCAGUGUUUAUCUUGUGCCCUCCCUUCUGUUUUUAUCUUUUAACAGGUGCAAUUUACAAUUACAACACACUGUCUUACCUGAUAAUGUCUGCUGUUUCUCCCAAAGUAGAAUUAAAAUCACUUAUUUCCUCUUUGGAUGGUCAAAGUUCGCGUUGACUGCUUCUUUGUUUCACUGUGAAAGUCAUUGUUUGCUUCAACUGGUACCAAUACCUCCAGUAUGAGCAGUUUCCUGCAAAACUUGAUGUACCAGGAAUCUUUCAUGUACAGAUGUGUGCUAACAACGUAUAGAAAUCAUUUGUAUUUUUGCAGUACUGCUGGACAUGAAGCAUCUGGAACUGGAUGUAUGAAAUUUUUGAUGAACGGUUCUUUAUUGUUAGCUACUGCAGAUGGCUCAGCUGUUGAAAUUGCUGAAGAAAUAGGGGCAGCAAACAUGGUAAGUAGUGACAGUAGACACGUGUAAAUGAUGAUAAAAGAACAGAAGAAAAGAAAAAACAAGUGUUGUAGGAUAUGGUCCCCUUAAUUGACCCCAUUUUCUUGUUUGAUAACUUUCUUUUGUUCCUUCUUCUUUUUCUUCUUCAGUUUCUUUUUGGUGCAAAGGUAGACGAGGUCCCAGCGUUGCGAGAAAAAGGAACCAGCCUCAAAGGUUCACUUCAAUUUGCACGAGUUGUAAGGUACGCAGUGUAGUUUGAGCAAUCUUUCCCUUGAGUUUUACGUCCUACUCUCUGUAUCUAUCCAACUGUCCCCAAUGAACAAUCUGCCAUGUCUAGGUGUUUCCUUUCUGUUGGCUGCCACUGGAAAAUUGACAGUAGUCUAGAGAAUUAUUGGAUAUGGUCUUUUCCAUCCCUCUCUCUGUCACAGUCACACACAUUAGCUUUUGUUUUUUGACCUCCAAGAUCGUCUAUACCAUGUCUCAUUCACUAGCGUGAUUGUCAAAGCUGAUGGGUAUAUCGUUGUCACAUAAAUGAUCUUUAUGACAUGGUAUCACUCAUCCACACUUAUAAUUUCUCUACCUUUCAUUAUCAUAAAUGAGUUGGGAGAACAAACCAGCAUUAAAGUCAUUUUUUUGCUUCCAAGGUUCUUGGAGGUUUGUCCUGACCAUAGGAUUCGUGUUGUAUCUGAAGUAUUUCCAAUCCUGUCUGCAAUUGCAAUGUAGUUCAAGGUUAUGUGGCUGCCCGCAGCUGUGAGUAUGAUUGUUCAUUGUUGAGAGGCAGCCUUAGUUAAAACUACAUCUACUGUGAAUUAGUUAAAGCUUUCUAUGUGAAUAAUGUUGCAUACUAAGACCGUUUACUUUGUUCUCUGUUCCAUUUUCUUUAUCUCUGUGUGGCAGUUACAUUUUUCCUCUCUCGAAUGUUGCUGACAUAUGCAUGAUGUGGUGCAGCAAAGGUUUCAUAAGUUUUUGGGUAAUGCCUGGUCAGAGUAAACAGAAUUCAAAUGGACAUAGUGCCAUAACUUUCUCUUUGCAACCUUGUUUUAUAGGAAAUGUCAUGGAUAAUUAAUAUAAGCCAACAACAUAAAGAAGUCAGAAGGAAAGUACUAUGAUCAUAGUAAUAUCAGCUCUGUGGUUGAAGCUUUCUGCUGACAGGCAUAAAGAAUUUAUUGACGUUUAUCUCACAUUUUUCUUUACAAACCUGGAAAGUAACUUGUGAAAAGCGAAAAGAAAUAGAGAGGAAAUAAAAGCUGCUUCCAAUUGCCAGCUAGAAUGUGAUUGUCUUGAUCAACUAACUCUGCAAGAUUUUUAGUCACAGGAUGAAGCUUACUGCAUGAAUGAUCUUUCUUAGUGAAAUGCACUGCAUAGGUUCAUGAGAAUAACUUUGGGAGUUUUCAGCUUUUAGCUCAUCUUAUUGUACUAUACGUGUAGGAUGGUCCGGGAUGGUCACUUUGGCUUCAAAGACUACUUCAAGUCGCUAUGUGACACUGUAGAGGAGGGUAAAGACUUUUAUCUCCUGGGAUCUGAUUUUGCUAGUUAUUUAGAGGCUCAGGUAAUGCUUCAAACCAAUCUGUUAGUGCAACUAUUUAUGUUAGAAAUGCUCAGUUUGGAACUGACAGAAUAUGACAACAGGCGGCCGCUGAUAGAGCAUUUGUUGAUCAAGAAAAGUGGACCCAAAUGAGCAUACUUUCUACUGCCGGUUCAGGGAAAUUCAGCAGCGAUAGAACAAUAGAAGAAUAUGCAGAACAGAGUUGGGGCAUCGAACCCUGCAAAUGCCCCUUUUGAUUUGCAAAACUGUGCCUUGCAUGCCACACAUUUCCUAUAGGAAGAAACAUGGUUUGUGCAGCAAUAGUAACCGUGUAUCCUAAUUUGACGAUACAGAAAGCAGUGACUGCAAGAAACACUUGUAAGGGAGCUCUUAUAGUUGCAGAUAAAAUGUCUUUCCUGAAUGCUGAUUUGAAUCAUGUAACAUGGUUAUUUUGACUGGGGCUAGUCGACUUUAUUUUAUAUCAACUAUGGUAUGCAAGUAGCUCCUUAAACGAACAUGGGAAGAUGUAAAACUUAGAAGUCUCCCUUUUAUUUCCUAGAAUAUUGGGUUGUAAGAGAUUCUCAAUCUUUCCAAUGCAAGUUACCAGUAUUUGAUAUUUUGAUUGUUCUUUUGGAAGUAAUUUACUCCUUACAGUUUCUGUGUGUUCAUUUUAUGGUCAAAUACUUCAACUGGCAGGAUCUUGUGCACUGGACCAAACAAAGUGAGCAAAGCUCUAAUUAGGUCCAUCCUGUGAAAAUUGAUACCAACACUUAUAGUUUCCCCAUUUUUUCUUUAGUUUAAUAUUCAGAAGAACUCGGUCUCACUUACGAUAAUUCUCAAGUUCUUCAAUGUCUCUCCAUACUUUUAAGGGGACAUUUGGUUUAGUCUAUGCAAUAAUUAAUAACAAUAAUAAUAAUAAUGAAAAAAUUGUUAUGUAGUGAAUAUUAUUGCAUGAAUUUAGUCGAAAUAGCAGUUCAAAGUUAUACUAUAAUUGAAGUACACAAAAAAAAAAAAAUUCUGUUCUCAUUCUUUCUUUUUUUAUUUGCGGAUAAACUCGUGAAUAGUGGGAGAUAAUUUACUCAGUUCAUUUUUAUAAUAAUCUAUUUUUACUCGGUUUAUUCUUCUUCAUUUUUUUUUUUAAAUUUAACAAAAUGUAGCUCGGUUUAUCUUUCCUAACUUUUCUUCCGCUAUUUUUGUCCUUUUUGUGAAGAUCAUGCGGUGCGGGACUGCUCGCUUCCCCGAAUGGGGCCUACGGUGUCAAACCAAAACAAAAGAGCAAGAGUAAACGGUAUGCGUAUUUUAGCAGCAGUAUCUCAGCACUCAGUAGAAUAACGAAGAUGGAGAUGGCGAUCUCCUUAAUUUUGGUUGCCGCCAUAUUUACUGCUCUCUUCUCUCUGGCAGCUCUCGUUCCGCCCGUCGAAUCUCAGAUUCCGCCAUCGUCCGGCCAACAGAAUCAGAAUUCGGUGAUGUUCGAAUUGCAAGAAGCGAAGCUUAAAAUCGCUCGAUUAGGUUAUUUCUCAUGACUCAUCACUUUCACCCUUGAAAUUCGAACUCCACAUGGCUCAAUGCUUAUGUUUCUCUUGUGGUUUAAGAACUACAUAUUUAAAGAUAUAUUUAUACACACAAACACGAGUGCAUUGACAUGUAAUUACAAAUAUAAACAAAAGAGAUGCACACGCAUAAAAGUUCAUUUACAAGUAAUUACUACUUUUUAUGUUCCGGUUUAUUGUUAGAACUUAGAAGUAAGAAUAGUUCAAAACAAUCAUUCUACUCACUGAUUAUGAGGGUUUCAGGAAAUGUUUCAUUAUAAGCUGGUUGAUAUGAGUACUUCAUUUCAUUGCCAGGCUCGUGUAUCCCCUCUUUAUUCUUAACUAUCGAUAGUCAGGAAAGAUUUGGCUAUCAUUGGAAUAUGUGAUUACUCAUUACAAUAGAUAGGAAACCAGCUUGAGGGUAGUGGGUAUACGCGUGAAUAACUUGAUGCUAGUAAUCUCUCAAUUGGACUAGGGCAAGAUAUUAUGUACCUUUACCUUAAAAUUUUGCUUCAUGCUAAGAAGCCUUAUUGAUACAUUAUAUUGAAAAUGUGCAUUGGAAAGUGUUAUUCUUUUUCUUUCUGUUUAUACUUUUUCUAUAUAAAUGUGCAUUGCAUUGCAAAGUGGGAUUUUUAACUUUCCUUAAUUGAGUUUCCCGCACGAAUGCAGGGACAGUGUUCUUUCUUGUGCUAGUGUCUUGAUGGCCCUAUCUAUCCACUUCUUAAUAUGUGCUUUUCAUAAUUCUGCCAUAUAAAUACAAUGAUUUCCCUUUAACCAUGCAGUUUUUGGUCUUCGUAUGCCUUAGAUAAAGAUAUCUUGUCAGUAGCAUUUUUUCACGAGAAGUAUGCUAUGUUUUCGCCUGCUACUAUUCUGCUAGUUCUGUAAAAUUUUAACAUUGGUGCAUUUGAUUGCAGAAUCCAUCCUUGACGAAAGCAUGCCGAGUUUAAAUGCUAAAAGCCAAUACAUCAGAGAAGCUGAGAAGAAAAUCGAGGACAUUAGUGUAGAAAUUGACAAUCUUACAACCGCUUUGUCCAAAUUGCAGGUUUGUUUUUUGCCAGUUUACGUUUUUCAUGUGUGCUAAUAUCUGACUUAUCCAAAUGAAUUGGUUUUUUCGGAAAAGGCCUUGUUCUUUGCAAGAUUCUAUGCCAUGUCUGGUACUGCAUGGAAAAGUAGAGUAGAAAUUAGUAUGAGAAAAUAUGCUAAAGUAGUCAAAACGAAUGGUCCCGUUCUAUUGAUCUUCUGUUAUUACGAGUAGGAUCUGAAUUCGAUGAGGUUCAGUAGGUUGACAGUUAGUGACAAUAAUGGAAGGGAUUGAACGGGGCACUUGUGAUUUAAGGGUUUUUUUUCCAAAUAAAUUUAGUGUAGGAAACAGUUAUUAUGGCAUAUCCCAAGAGAAUUUAUUCCUCCAACCCCAUCAUCAAUGUCUUCUUCCAUUGGGAGUAGGGAGCAGAAUCUUGUAUUUGUAUAAGGGAAUAUGUUCAUUCAAAUGUCAGAUAGUUGUUUUGAUAAAAACUAAUGCCUUAUAUAUCUUGAUGAUGCUCGUGCAAAAAGCUAAACAGUAUGCCCUAAAUUCCCUGUCUGAUUAUGAUCCUUUGAUUGUAAAAAAUGGCUAGUUCUGUGAAUAUUAAGGCUGUGCAAGUGCAGCUUUGUUGCUGGUAAUCAGUUUGUGAACUCCAAGUGCAUUUCUGGUUCACAUGUUCGUACAUAAAAUAGGUGGUCUUCAGUUCUCUGUCAUUUUAUUGAAUAUGAUUUCAAAAAUAGGUUCUCGGUUGUGAUGAUUUUGAUUUCUUGAUUGAUCUUUCAUUUUGUGACCUGAUCUCGUCUGAUGUCAAGUAGGUAAAUGAGGCAUGCCUUCAUGGGAAUUGUGCUAAUAUUACUAGAGAAUCUAUAAUUCAUGCAACCUGAGUGAAAUUCGUGUCAAUAUGAGACAAUGGAAUAAAUGAUACACAUCCAUUCCUUAUGAAUGCUGUCUUUUUCUCUUUCUUCAGCAUCACUCGUCAAGGAUUAAUACUCUAGAAGAAAAGGUAUGGUUGCCACGUGAUCACUGCUUUCUUUUCUCCAUAAAGUUUCUCAUCUUAUAGUUAGAUAAAUGAGGCAGUUGCAUAGGUACGACUGCUUUGGGAUGUGGCGAGAAAGAACAACUUUGAAAUUCAUACAUUGGAGUUCAAAGCACAAGAUGGUCAGAAAAGAUUAAAAGUUCUUGCGUCUCAAGUUGAAAAGGUAGGUUUGGUAAAGCCACGAGUAAACAACUUCAGUAAAUAAUGUUUCUCUAGUGCAGGUCAAGUGGAAGAAAAUAGUGUCUUUUAAGAUGUUGAUUGAUUCUUUCAUCAUCCUGAGAAUGAGAUUUCUGUAGAAGUGUGUUGAAACAUCUUUACUGUAUACUAGGGUAAACAUGACAGUUAUUGCAGACUUGGACGCUUAAGAUUUCUCUUCAGUUGAAGAAAUCAUCUUAUUUCAUGCACAGGAGAUAGGAAUAAGACCUAAAUGGUAACAAGAUGUCCACACGAUAUCAUAUUUCUUCGUUUAGGAAAAAUUUGUAGCAUUCAAAGAAAAAGAAAUGGUAGAAGAGAAUAAUAGAACUUUUUUCCACUUAAAUGGUUUUCCUUCACCACUUUGUGUCCGAGGAAAUGAAAAGUUAAUAACCUGCUAUGCAUUUUCUUCUUAGGCAAGAGAUGUGGCAAAAGUUCUCUGUAUGAGUAUUAUGAUACUCUGUAAUCUUUCAUUGAUAAACUAUUUAAUUUGGGUUCGCAGAUGGCUGAAAUUGUGUCUGAACAAUGGAUUCAGAUACAACAACUUGAGCAAGCUGUUCAAAUGGCAGAGGUAUCUUCUUGUUUAUGCCUUGGGUUGUAUUUACCAUUAAAACUAUAAUAGAACUGCGGCCAAAGCUGAAUCACAACUUUAUAUGUCAGAUGAGAACACUGAAGGUCAAAAGGCAACUAAGGUCCAGUAAAUGUCCAUUUGUCAAGGUACUGAAAGAUGCUCAUUAAAUUUUCCUAGCUUGCUCACUCCUUUGGAACAUCGUAUAGAGACAUGAUUGCUCUCGAUGUAUUCUUAGGCAUUCAAGUCUUUGAAGAGAACUAACACUCUUGUGAUCUCCAGUUCAUCAAAAACGUUUUUGGCAACCACCUCGAAACGUUGAAGGGGAUUCUGCAUCCAUAUGGAUCAUACAGUAAGGCUGAUCCUAAUUCCUACUGGGAUCAAGCUUUGCAUCAUAUACAGAGGACCUUUGCAUCUGCAAGACAAUACCAUUAUGAGGUACUCAAAUUUUCUUAAUUAGGAGGGUUGGAAUUAACAAGUGGUAUUAUUGCUGCUUAAUCAGUUUAUGGGUUGACAUUCUACAUUUGUUUUUUCAUGUCGUCUUAUGGUUAGCUUUUGCUCUUCCUCUUUAAUGAGCAAUCUCAAGAUAAAUAGUUAUUUUUGAUAUUUAAGUUGGUAACCGCAGUACAUGUGAAGGAGUUCAAAUCCCGGUUUCUAGGGUCAAAAACAAUCUUUUGUUUCCUCUGUACUUUUGGGGCAAGAUGGAUAUGCAUACUUGCAUAGAUGGUUACCUAGACUUUUUGGAGCUUAGUGUAUAUGGAUAGACCUCUUCUGUUUCGUGGUGUAUUAUUAAUAAAAUAUUCAUUUAACGAUGUGUGCGUGAAUUGAUGCAUAACUUUUUUUUUUUUUUUUUUUGUGUGUGUGUCUGUCUGUGUAUUGAUGCCAUAUUUAAGUUAGUAACUGAAAAUGUGAAAAUUUCUGUCCUUGAUUGUUUAGUUGCUGUUGGAUGGACACCCUUCAGUACGAUUAUAUGAUUUUCUGACAGCUUAUAACUACACAGCUGCAGAAGUUUGUAAAGCAUGAAAUAGAAAGGAAUGAAUUUCCUGCGGCUUUAGCUAAUGAAGAAGUGGUGUUCUUAGUGGUAAGAACUUUGAUGCUACUGAGUUUUCUGAACUUUAUUUAUCUUCGCAUGUCAAUAAUUUCCCCACUAAUGUGCUUAAUGGAAUUCUCGACUUUUGGCAGGCCUCAGCUCUGAUCGUCUUUCCCAUUUUAAGUGUAUUCAUGCUUCUCUUCUCACACCUUAGCUAGGCGGAUACAAACAUAAUUUUUUUAGAAAGGUAACAGCAUAGGCGACACAGGCAUACUUAUUCAUGGAAAGAUUAUGGUGUAUUACGUCAAGAAUGAAGUUGAGGUAGUGUUUUGUCAGGUUUUAGUUAUAAGAAAGUUUUGAAGGUCGACAAUCUGUACGAGAUUGGGUAGGAUUCGCCUCAAAGCGAUGAUUGGUUUACCAAACAAUUCGCACAUGACAACCAAGAAUUAUUACACGAAAAGAAGCAAAUCAUGACCACGUGAAAUUUUUGAUCUCUUGUACACUUUGUAGAUAUUCACCUCAACAAAUGCCAUUUCUCUAUUUGAGGAAAUUCACCUUAUGGUUCUUCGUGGUAGUUGUUACACUACGGAUGUGGAAAGUGAUCAUAGCUUAAUUGUCAGCUAUGACAGGUACUGUGAAUGUCACUGCUGCUUUUGUUAUCAAUCAAAUGCAUUACUGCUCUUCUUGUUUUGCCCCAAUUAAGUAUUAACCCCUUUGUCAUUUUCUUUAUUAACAUCACCUUAAACUAAAUUGUUAGCUCAUAUAGUAAAACCAUCACAAAAUCUUAAUGAACAAAAAAUAAUAAUAAGUCUACGAGUACAGAUCUUCCGAUGCUCUUUUCGUUUGCUCUUCCGAGUAAAGAUUUUGAUUUUUUGCUUAUGAAUAACUAUCCAUAACGUGAGCUGAAAACUUUCAUUGUUGUUCCCUAAACUGGAAAACACAAUUAGAAAAUUGUAGAGAACUUAUAAUGGCCGAAAAUUAUUGAUUGGAGAUGACACCACACGUUCUAAAAUUGUUAGAGCUCAGAACCUAUUUUUUUUUUUUUCAGAGCCUAGUUUUUUCUCUUACAAAAAUGUAGUCACCUCUAAGGAAACGUUUUGAUGGUAUAUCUUUUUUAUUUUCCUUAUAUUUUAAAUCUUGAUUAAUAUGUUUAUUUAGAUCUAAUCCUGAUUUAAAAUUCCGAAAGACCCUUAUGUUAUUUUAAAUCUUAGGGAACAAAUUUUACACAUUGGAUACUCAGGACUGGAGGGCCAAUAUUGCAAUAAUCAUAACCUAUCAGGGGUCAAAUUGAAAUUUGGCCAAAAGCAGCACUAGCUUCUCCCCACAUUCCCAAAUCACAUCCAAGUUAGCCAGAUAACUCAGCUAAGGAUAACCAAUUGCUCUGAACUUACCAUCCACAGGAAAGCAAUGAUAACAAGAAGAUGGAAGACACAAGAUGGGAUCAAAGAAUCCAAGCAUUAACACACAUAAUAACCAAUCCCACAACUAAACCAUCCUUGGAUUCACAAAUCUUCAUUUCUAGCCAAGUCCCAUGUUACCUUAACUGGGACUAUCCACCAAUUCUGUGCACCAAAUAUUCCACUAACACUUUCCCUUCUGUGAAUCUGAGAUGGGCUCUUUCAGUUUUUCUGAAAAGGGUUUCAAGACUUGGGGCACCUGAAACUUCUUGGAGGUCCAAAUGCCCAUACCAACAACCCCCUCCAUUGAUACUGGCCAAGGGAUUAGAGGAAGCUCACUGGGGAGAUGAACAGAGGAGACUGUAUGUGAGGAAAAGGUUUAAAAGGAGACAUUUAGGAAGUGAUGUUCACCCUUUGAUUCCAUUUAUUGUGCCUAAUCUCUUGUUGUUCUCGCUUUUGCUUUGGAACCCAUUUCCAAUUGAUGGGACAGAUUCUUGAAUUUUGGAGCUUUUUUGUGAGGGGUUGGUUGUUCCUAGUUUUAUUUACUUUAGUCCUAAUUGCAAGUUUUUCUUUCUUUUUCCUGAUAAAGAUUUGGUAAAGAAAUUAUAUCAAGUUAGUAAAUUUGGAAGUAUUUGCAUAGAAGAAUUGCUUAUGUAUUGGAUAAAUGCUUCUCUUUUUUAACUUCAGCGAAGAUGUUCAAAGUUUCAUUAGUGCUGCUUUAUGUAGAAUGAAGCUUUGGGAUUGAAGUCAAUGUUGAUACACAAUAAAAGGAUAGUCCGGUGCGCUAAGCUUUCGCUGCCUGCAUGAUCUGGUAAGGCCCAGGGCCGGACUAAGCUUCCGCUGUCUGCAUGAUCUGGGUAAGGGCCAGCGCCGGACUACAAGAUUGAUACAUAAUAUACCCCUAAUACUUAUGACAAAACAAAUUGUGACUAUGUAAAUUGCAUUUUCAAUACUGAAAAUGCAUUUUGGACCUCAUGGGUGUACUCGCGUCGAACUUUGGCGAACUAUAGCACGCCUUUAAGUGCCAAGAAAAUAUGCUGGAGAAUGCCCAAUGCACCGUUGAAGCUAAAACGGAUGGAUCAUAUUUGGGUAGCUUGAGUGAAAGUGGUGAAGGUAGUAUACUUAGGAAUGAAACAGGAGAGUUUUUAUAUGCAUUUUGUGUGGUUUGGACAGCAAACUAACAAUCAAGAUUAAGCUUUGGGUUGUUGCAUGGAAUGUAGUGGUGUUUCGACUAUGGCUUGAUUAUAAGAAUAGAAGUCAUUGGAGAUAGUAAUGUUGUAACAAAAGUUUGGAGAAUAUCUUGGCACAUUGAUUUCUUAUUAUGUUAUACAAAUAUUAUGUUUGUUAUAACAGAUGUCAUAUUUUAUUGUUCACUGUUAUAGGAAAGCAGUUGGCUAAGUAGAUUGUUAAGAUUGAAUUUUGGUAUAUAAUCUUUCUCAAGCAAGCAUCAUGUGUCUAUUAAGGCCAUGCUGAGACAAGAUAAGAUUGGAUAAGUACAACAACUUUGAACAUUCAAUUCAAAACCUUUACAUAAUUAGUGAAAUAACCCAAGACUUUUUAUAAACUUUUUUUGCACACUGUAUAGGGUAAAAUUAGUUCGUAUUAAAUGGCCGUAUAAUAGAACACGUGGAACCGGAAAAAAAAUUGAAAAACGAGAGAUGUGGAAAUCACGAUUGGGAGCAGCAAUUCCGGUUGGCACCGGAAAAUUCCCGAAGGGAAUGUUGCUCAUGAAGACAAAUGAAUGCGUCACCCGAUAGCAUUCAAUAAAAAAUAUUCUGCAGUAUUAAAUACAUAGUCCGUUAUAGAGAAUAUGACAUUCAUACUCUGUCGUUACACAUUCUUCAAUGACCCCCAUAAGUGUCAUUUAAGAGAGACUUGAUCCUAGGACCUUGUUCCCUAGGUGCAACUAUAAAUAUUGAAUUCAACAUUCAUGAGGAUAAUUUUUUUGACAAGCUUAUGCUAUACAUUAUUCUAAGCUCAAUAACACCUUAUUUCUUGUUUAUUGGUAUUAUUAUUAUUGUCUUCGGAAGCUCUGCUCCCAAGACCAAGCUGUCUGUUGUCUCAUCUCAAUUUCAAUGCUAAGUCUUGCAUUUUCAUUUAAUUUAUUUAUCAUUUUUGGAUCAAAUCGAUUCGCUUGUCUAUAAACCACGUGAAAAUUCAACUGUACUGUUUUACGGGUAAACACACACGCUAGACCAAUAUUAGAGAUUUGGAGGCUAGUAGUACCAACAAAGAAAACACAGUAUAACAGUUGCUGGAAAACAGAUUAGAAGCAUCCUUAUAUCCAAUUACUUUUCUUCCUUGUUAUGCUGUUGUAGCAGAUAAGAGACAAGUAUAAGUGCAACAACUGAACAUUAGUUGAAGGCAACCAAACAAUUGAACAAACAUCCAACUUGUUGUAAUUUGUAUGGAUAUCAUACUUUCCAUUUCAGUUAAGGAAACGUGAAGCUCUAAUAGUGACCGUAGCAUGUGAUUUUUGUUGAAUUAAGACAGAAAUGCACAUGCUCUUAAAUAAUGAAAUAGACAUGCCGCAGAGCAACUAGCUAACCUCAACCAAAUCCUCCAUUUCAUUGUCAAUUUGUCAUCUGGUCUUAUCUUUAUUUUAUUAAUUGACGGGAACUUCUACUAAUUUUGAUGCACCAAUUUUUGAAUUUGAGGCCUUCUCCAUGUUUCGAAUAUGAUGUUUUUUUUUAAACGUAUAUGAUGCUCCUGUCCUGUUUCUUUCCCUAAUCGUUGCGCAACCUACAGCUACUUUUAGUUUGAAAGGAUGUAUUUGAUGGAGCAAAUAGUUUUAGGAAAAAUGACAUUAUAUAUCCCUUUUAAAAAUAAUAGUCGAAUAUAUAUAUAUAUAUAUAGGUAUGUUAUAUAUAUAAAAAUAUACAAAUUUAUACACUUUUUAGACUACUAGACAUAAAUAGUUUCGAUCAUAGGCUAAAAAUAAUCUUUGCUCACAGAUUUAUCCCAACUUGCUUCCCUUGUUAGUGGUAAUUAGUGAGAAGAGAAAAUAACGUUAUUCGUCCCUCCUUGGUAGAGUACACAAAAAAAAAAUGUGUUUUAAGCUUUUUUUGUACCGCUUGAAACAAAAUUUUGGUUGGUACUUGGUACUUACCUAAAAGGUUGACAUUACUCAAAUGGUCAUUCAACUAUUCCAAAUUAUUUACUAAAGUCACUUUACUUUCGCUUGUAACAAUAAUGCACUCAGAAAGUCAUUAAACUAGAUUUUCCAAAUGUUGGAUUGCCAAAUACCUAUUUUACCAUCUAAAUUAUAAACAUUUAUCUUCUUUUUAUUUUUUUUAAACUUUAAUAUUAUAAUUUUCCUUUUUUAAUUUAUAUUAUGGACUUACCUAUAAAAUAAAUAAAUAUUAUUUAUAAAUUAAAAACUAAAAAGUAUUUAAGCAUAUAUAAUGCUGAAUAAAAAAAAAAUGAGAAUAGUAAAAAUUAAUUAGAAUAAUUUGUUAGUAAUAAUAAUUUUAGUAUUAACAACAAAAAUUCAAAAUUUUAAUUUCACAAUUCAGGAUGAAAGAAAAUAAAGGUUAUAAAAUAUAUAUUCCAUGCACGUAAUAAAAAAAUAAUUAUUUAAACAAAGGUAAUUUUAUAAUAUACAUUAUAUAUUUUUGAAAGUUAUGCUCAGUUAUAUUAUUAUGUUUCUACCAACUUUCCGACGACACAAAGUUAUGUUACCGAAAAUCAUGGGGACUAUCUGUAUAGAGUAAAAUAUGCUAUGUUAAGUCGUGCAUGGAAUAUAUAUAAUAUAAUUGAGCAUAAUUUUCAAAAAUAUAUAAUGUAUAUUAUAAAAAUACUUUUAUUUAAAUAAUUAGUUUUAUAUUAAGUGCAUGAAAUAUAUAUUUUACAACUUUUAUUUUCUUUCAUUCUGAAUUGUGUAAAUAUAUUUUUGAAUUUUUAUUGUUAAUACUAAAUUAUUAUUACGAACAAAUUAUUCUAAUUAAUAUUUUUUACUAUGCUUAUUAUUUUGUUAUUCCAGUAUUAUAAAUGCUUAAAUACUUUAUUUUUUAAUUUAUAAAUAAUACUUAUUUGUUCUACAGGUAAGUCCAUAAUAUAAAUUAAAAAGGGAGAAUCAUAAUAUUAAAAAGUUAAAAAAAAGAUAAAUAUUUAUAAUUUAGAGAGUAAAAUAGGAAUUUGGAAAAUCUAGUUGAGUGAACUUCUGAGUGCAAUAAGUAUAGUUCAAUAAGUAUAGUUCAGUGACUUUGUUGUUACAAACAAAAGAAAAGUGACUUUAGGAGAUAAUUUAAGAUAGUUGAGUGACCAUUUGAGUAAUUGACUCUGUGGUUUCCCGAAAUUGAUUAAUUAUUUUCAGUUCCUCAAUCCUUAAGAGAUUGUAACGAAGCAUCCGAAAUCAAAAAUAACCUCUCAGAAAAUCCCUCUGUUCAACUCUUUGUAAUAGCGCCGAAGCCCAUUUAAAUCUCUAGGAAUUUGCUCAAACCUUAAGAGAUUGUAACGAAGCAUCCGAAAUCGAAAACACCCAUUUCAAGACGCUGCUUAGCCUUAAGACUGUUUUAAGCAAGUACGUCUUAAUCCCAAUUAGUUUGAAAAUUCUGAAACUCUUAAUGGGUAUUUAGAGAAAGUGGGAAAAGCUUGAAUUUUUAUCAAGAACGGGAAUUUUAUAAAUUGUUAAUCAACAAAAAUCGAGGAGGAAAAGGAGCAAAAUAAAAUGGGACAUACAAGCAUUUGGAUAAAUCAAACUCUCACCUCUGUCAACAGCUAUGAUGUAAUCACAAGGGAAGAAAUCCAAAUAGUACAGUAUGAAUGACAUUGGGAAAAUAGAGAAAGAUGAAUUCUAAUGACUAACCAAUUCAGAUGUGCAGGAGAACGAAGCAUCUGCCAAAAAUUAACCCUAGAAGCUCGAAAAGAUAGAUGUGGAGAAGAAGAAGCCAAUCGCAUAAUAACACUUCUAAGUAGAAAUAUUGACAAGAUUAGGGUUUCGAGUAGAGUUGAGAUUAUAAGAUGCAACGCUGGUGCAAGAGUUUAGUUACGUGGAAUUGUUUUAUUUAGUUAAAUGUUUAAAUUUCUUAAUUUAAAAUUUGAAUUUGGAAGCCGACUAAGUUCUUAUUUAGAAAGAGGUUGUGUCUAUUAAGAUAGGUUCAUUAAGAUAUAACUAUGUUAUCGAUUUGCUUGAGUAUUUUACCAAAAUAUUAUUUCUUUUCCUUCUUUAAUAUGUAUCUCCUCUCUAUAAUAAUAAUAAUAAUAAUAAUAAUAAUAAUAAUAAUAAUAAUAAUAAUAAUAAUAAUAAUAAUAAUAAUAAGAAGAAGAAGAAGAAGAAGAAGAAGAAGAAGAAGAAAGAAAGAAAGAAAGAAAGAAAGAAAACGCAGAGAAGAAGCAAUUAUCUAAAGUUAACCACUAGAAUAUAGAAAGAUGUGAGAGACUCUCUCUCUAAUUUUUUUUUCCAUAUCUCUUACACAACAAACGUUUACUAACUCACUAGCCAUGAAUAAUCAUAUACCACCAUGCCUCUCUACUAACAAUCUUAUAGAACCACCGGAUAUAGGAAAUAUGCAAAUUGACGAUAAAACAAACAUCAAUCCUUCACCCUCUUUCCUUCAAGCCUUAAUCUCUGAUAAACAUCAACCAGCAACCCCGUAUAUCCAACAGUGUAUUACACACUCUUUUGACCUACAGGAUGAGAGUAUUGCAACCAAUCAAGAUGAAUACGUAUUUAUUCCUAUUACUGCUGAAGAUAAAUGUCGUUUAUAUAUGCCUUGGCAAUACUCCGUAAUUGUUAAGCUUUUUGGUCGAAAAAUAACCCAUCAAAUCCUGCAUGCUAAAUUGAUUGGACUAUGGAAGCCAUCUAAGGAUCUUCCUUUAAUAGAUUUGGGCUCAAUUUCUUCUUGAUCAAAUUUCAAAAGGAGGAAAAUAUGAUUAAAGCACUGCAUGAGGGACCCUGGUUUGUCUUAAAUCAUUUCUUGUCUGUUCGAAAAUGGGAGCCUAAGUUCCAUGCAUCGUCUGCGCAGCUUACGUACUCAGCUAUAUGGGUUCGUCUCCCAGAGCUUCCAACAUAAUUUUAUGAUGAGCAAAUUCUAACAAAGAUGGGUUCUAAACUAGGUAAAUUAUUAAAGGUUGAUGCAUCUACUUCCUCUAUUACUAGGGGAAAGUAUGCUCGGAUAUGCAUAGAAGUGGCCCUUGAGAAGCCUCUUAAAACUCAUCUACUCGUUGGACACCACUACCAGAUGCUACUCUAUGAGGGACUGAAUUUGUUGUGUGAAAAGUGUGGGAGAUUUGGACAUCCCAUAAUAAAUUGCUACUAUAUACUAUCACUACCUCCACACUCCAAUACAAUUUCAAACACUAGUUCCACCCUUAACAUAUCAACACCAGAAACAGUCCAAGAAUAUGCAUGGAAGAUAGUUGAGUUUCCAAAGAAGCAACUACCACGAUAUAAUCCUAACCACCAUCAAACCAACACUAGGGCGGUGCCGGAGGCAGUCAAGCUAGGGCAACAUCCAAGUCUCAUUCUAUUUUUGAGCAGGGCCAGGCUUCUACGACUAUUGGGCCUAUCAUUAGGCCUACUGCUAGGCCUGCUGAGGCUCGUACAAUCUCCAACACUAACCCACUUGGUAAUAAAUUUGACAAAUUGGCAUAUCUGCAUGAUUCUACGGAAUCCAAUAUGGAUUUAGACACCUCCUCAUUAAUGGGCCCAAAAAUUAAUAAUUCCACAAUACACAAGCCCAAAAACAAUUCACUAGAGGAUAAUUUUACAAUAUGCCGGUCCUUUCCACCAAUCACAUAAAACAUAUUCCUAAUCAUAACUCAUUAUUAUAUACUACUCCUCUAAUAGACUUAACUUCUCAGGCCAUGCCUCACUCCUCUUACACGCCACCUAAGGAACUCAAUAUAGAGCAAUAACCCUUUAACACUUCUAUCCAUUUGCCAAGAUGACAAAUCUGCUUCUUCACAUGACCAGUUUAUUUCCCCUACACUACACGUUGAUAGCAGCAAAGCAAAUUUUCAUGCUACAGUAACCUACGUCCAACAUCAACCUAGCCAACCUCAAUUCCCAUACACACAAAAUGAUUAUUUUCCAUGUGAAUCUACACAGAAGAUCUCCUCUACUUCACAACAUAUUCCUCUAAAUCCAGAAAAACUUGUACAACCUUCUAACAUAUCAACUUCACCCCAUACUCCAACAGAUAGUAACCAUGCAAUGACCAACCUUUCCACCAACUUCAAACAACACUUACCUGAGAGAUCUGGACAACAAUCGUUUCUUCUAGCUGCCAAGACUGAUCAUGCAAGGCCCUCAAUUACCACACAUAAUAACUCCAUUAGUGUACACAUCCCAGCAAACCACGAUGGACCUUCCACUCCAGUCGUGGUUAGAGAUGGGUUUACAAGGCCAUGCAUUAGUCUUCACAAUGGAGAUCAACAACCAAGAAGUUGUUCUCCUACUUCAAAAUCCAAUGCACUUAGCAGAAAUAGUAAUAGAGGGGAUGAGGUUAGGGAUGGAAGCAUAUGCUCAAAACCAAUGGUACAAUACUCAAACUCCCUUCCUACUGGAGAACCAAACAUCGAUAUCAAACCCACCACAGUGAACCUACCCAAUACCUCAUCCAAUUCCAACACUCAACUCAACAACCAUUCUACUGCCUUUCUAUCCACCACAUCACAUGGGGAAAAUCUAUGCACCAUGGUUCCAGAACCUAAACUCCUUCAACCCACUAUCCUCAUACUUCACUCCCAACAGUCCCAUAGAGAUAUUGACACCUAUGGAAAGCCCACAACAUAUUCCACCUCCAUCUCCCAACGUACUAAAUGUAGACACAAGGCAAGAGUUAGCUCAGAUCUUAAUGGAGCUAAGGGAUACAAGGACGAAGUUCCUAUGGUUAAAGGUUAUCCAUCUUUACAACCUAAAAGAAGAGUACGAAAAAAAGUUCAUUCUAAAGUGUCCUCCGGACAUGACCACAUGCAGUCUAAACUUUUGAGUAACAAACAAUCCAGUGGCAGGGAAAUACUCAAUGGUGGUCAUUCCCACACUUCUUCCUCCUCCUCCAGUAUUGGAUACUCAGGGUCAGAUGACAACCUAUGUUGUCACCCCUCUAGUUCCGACUUCCAUGAUCACCACUCCUCAAAUUAGUAUCAUGAAUUUCAUAGUUUAGAAUUGUAGGGGUUCUCAUAAUCCGGAGUUUAGACGUCAUUUUAGGUCCCUAUUAGAUAAUCAUAGGCCAACCUUAGUGAUCCUUUUGGAAACUCACAUGCAUGAUCAUGAGAGACUUCAUGAGGAUUUUGGGUUCUCAAACAUGUCCCAGGUUCCAGCUAAUGGGUUAAUUGGGGGACUACCUGCCUUUUGGCAUGAAGCUCUCAUCACUGUGGAAGAAUUAUCUAUGUCUGAACAGGAGAUCCACUGCCUCGUUCAGGUGCAUUACAAUACCCCUAAAUGGAUCUUAUCAGCUAUAUAUACGAGUAACUCUUAUCAUUUACGUACACAGCUUUGGGAAAACUUAAUGAAAUUACAUGAUUACUAUAAUAUUCCUUGGCUUAUAGGAGGUGAUUUUAAUGAUAUAUUAUAUCAAAGAGAAAAAUUUGGUGGUUUACCUAUUAGUACCAAUAGAGCGGACAAAUUUAUUAAUUGCGUUAGCUAUUGUCAAUUAAUAGAUCUAGGAUACAAAGGAAGUCGUUUUACAUGGACUAAUAAGCGAAAAAAUGGACACACUAUCCUUGAAAGACUUGAUCGUUUCAUGGCCAACUGUGAUUGGAUAAACAUGUAUCCUGAAGCUAGGGUACAUCAUUUACCUAGGACUUAUUCUGACCAUUGCCCCCUCUUAAUAAAAUUAGAACCUUUAAUACAUCUCAAUAGGAAAGUCUUCAGAUUUGAAACUAUGUGGGUGUCACACCCACAAUUUUCAGAAUUAGUAACAACAACCUGGGCUAAUAAUGAACCUCUUUUAGAAACAACAAACCAUUUUCAGGAAAUAGUUAAAAAUUGGAAUCAAUUAACAUUUGGGAACAUUUUUAGUCGUAAAAGGAAAUUACUAGUUAGGUUAGCAGGGAUACAACGCUCAAUACAUUAUCCUACUAGUAUGUUCCUUCAGAAUCUGGAAACUCAGCUUACUUCUGAAUAUAGUGGUAUACUUAGAAGUGAGGAGGAAUUCUGGAAAUUAAAGUCUAGAUUAAUGUGGUUGAAUAAUGGUGAUGCUAAUACAAAGUUUUUCUACAUGUCUACUUUAAAUAGACGUCGGAGAAAUGGAAUAACUUUUUUACAGGACUCAGUUGGCAACUGGUGUGUUGACCAGAACGAGAUUCAUGAUAUAAUCCUAAAGCACCUUUCUAAUCUUUUUACUACAGGAAUAUUUUCGUACUAUUCAUGAAUCCAAUAACUAUAACCUUAAUCCAAUAGAUUUAAUUUCCUUAGAAGAACCUUUACAAGAGGCUGAAAUUACUCAAGCUAUACAAAGCUUUGGUCCAUAUAAGGCACCGGGUCCAGAUGGUUUUCAUCCUUUUUUCUAUCAAAGAUUUUGGCCUCAGGUAGGACCUAAGGUGAAACAGUUUUGCAAAAAUACUUUUCAUACAUGUCUUAUACCUCCUUCAUUAAAUCAGACCUACAUUUGUCUUAUUCCUAAGGUAAAGCAUGCUCAAACACUUCAGCAAUAUAGACCUAUAAGUCUUUUCAAUACCACUUACAAAAUUAUAACCAAAAUUAUUGUUAAUAGACUUAAGCCUAUUAUAUAAAAAAUAAUAUGUCUCACACAAACUAGUUUUCAACAAGGUAAACAAGCUUCAGACAAUGCUAUAAUAGUUCAGGAAGCCCUUCACCAUUUUACAAAAAUGAAAGGAAAGACUGCCUAUAUGCUUCUCAACCUAGACCUGGAAAAGGCUUUUGAUCGCUUAGAAUUGUCUUUUAUUAACAAAACUCUUAUCUUCUUUGGCAUAUUACAAAAAUUAUCAGGUUAAUAAUGUCAUGUGUUACUACGACUUCAACUUCUAUACUCAUUAAUGGCUCAUCCACACCUUACUUCACUCCUUCAAGAGGAAUUCAUCAGGGAGGCCCUUUAUUACCAUACUUAUUUAUUAUGUACAUGGAAAUAUUUUCAAAAUGCAUAAAUCUUUCAGUUGAUUAUUUACAAUGGCAACCAAUCAGUAUUGCAAAGAAGGGACCAAUGCUAUCACACCUAUUCUUUGCAGAUGAUAUCAUUCUAUUCUCCCGAGUAACCACUAAAAGUUGUAAUGCGAUAAUUGAUGUCUUAAAUCAUUUUACAGACUGUUCAGGACAGAAAAUUAAUUUUGAAAAAUCAAAGAUAUUUUUUUCUAAGAACUGCGCCACUGAUAAUAAGAAUAUGGCUAUGGCUUGCUUUCAACUCAAACAAGGUAUUAGCUUUGGCAAGUAUUUAGGUUUCCCAAUUUUUCAGGAAAGACAAAAAAAGAGCGACUUUCAAUUCUUACUAGAUAAUUUUAAAUAUAGUCUAUCAGGUUGGAAAACGAAUUUCUUAACAAUGGCUGGAAGAGUUACUAUGAUCAAAUCUACCCUUAAUAAUCUUCCAAAUCAUGUCAUGCAAUACAUACAAAUUCCGUCAAAUAUUGUUACAAAAAUGGAUCAAUAUCAACGUAACUUUUUGUGGGGAACAACUGUUGCCAAAAAGAAAAUGCAUCUUCUAAACUAGAAAAAAAAAUUACCACUCCACGAGAAAUAGAGGGUCUAGGAAUCCAAAAUUUAAGACAAAAGAAUACUGUAUUGCUAGCAAGUCUAGCAAGGAGAGUAUUCCAUUCUCGUCAACAGCUUUGGGCAAAAAUCUUAAUUAAUAAAUUUGUUCAUCGAGUUCCUUCAUCAUAUUUCUCUACAACCUGGCGUAAUAUAUUACAAGGUUGGACAAAUUUCCAACUUGGUUUAAAAUGGAAUAUUGAAACUGGUAAAAACAUAAAUUUUUGGCACGACUGUUGGAUUAAAAAUAGAUUAACUCUUCGUUCAUUAAUUAAUGGUCCAUUACCUUGCUUGCAUCAUAAGAUGACUAUUCACGAUAUUUAUAACGAGGGUUGGAACUGAGAUCUUUUACCUUUUGACCUACCCAAGGAUAUCCAGAAGCUUAUCAGAACUCAAUACAUUUCUAGAUAUAAUAUUACUAAUGAUAGCAUUUACUGGGCUUUAACUUCUAAUGGAAAAUUCACGGUCAAUUCUAUAUAUAAGGCUCUAGAAAAUAAUACUGAUAAUAAGCAUAAUAUAGUACCAACAUUUUGUUGGAUAUGGAAGCUUCCAAUACACCCUAAGAUUAAAUAUUUUAUUUGGCUUCUAAAUCAUAAUAGAUUGCCUACUUAUCAAUUUCUUCAGCAUCUUAAUAUUAUUUCGAAUUCUGCAUGUCAAUAUUGUCACAAGGAAGAAGAAUCAGCCACUCACAUUUUCCUCAAGUGUGAAAAUGCUGCUGCAUAUUGGCAUGAAUUAGGAAUGAGGAGCUAUGUUAAAAUACUUACUAACUUCAAUAUGCCACAUGAAUGGCUUACUAAAUUAGUUAAUUUUAAAGACAAAAAAUUUCCUCAUAACAUUAAUUCACAUACUUAUGUGCCUUUGAGUCGUUGGAAUAUCCGGACCACUAGAAGUAAAAAUAUUUAUGAACACUUGCAUAAACAAGUUAGUGUCAACUUCACUACUCAAUCGGCUAUGGAAUUUUGUUAUAUUACUUCUUCUGCUCAUAAAAUACAAAGGCAUGUAAGAACUCCUUUAAAGUGGCUACCUCCAAAUCCUAAUAUCUAUAAGCUAAAUACGGAUGGUUCGAAUUCAACAACUUUGAAUAAGAAUGACAUUGAUGGAGUAAUUCGGAAUCAUAAUGGAGACUGGAUUCUAGGGUUUUGGGGGUAACAUUCCAUCGCAAUCCACUCUUUCAACUGAGGUGUAUGCAUUACUACAGGGACUUACUUUGGCUAGGCUUCAUAAUCUAAUACCACUUCAAGUGGAAAUUAAUGCCAAAUAGGUAAUUACAAUACUAGUUAAUGAUAAUCUACUGUUUGCCAAUCUAUUACAUGAUUGCAGGCACCUACUAGGGAUGCUCCAUGGUUUGCAGCUUACACAUGCGUACAGAGAACAAAAUAGGUUAACUAACAAACUAGCAAGUUUGGGAAGUUUUUUGGAAGGAACUAAUGAUAUAGAAGUUUUGCACAACCCACCACCUUUUGUUGAGCAAAUUUUGGAAGAAGACAAGUUAGGACUGUCAGGAUUCCGUUUGAUUCCACAGAAUGUAGAAGAUGUCAAGAGCAAAUAACUACAGUGCAUGGAAGGAACCUCUAUAGUCUUACUUCAGGCAGUGUCGGAGGGUUACGUAUGGAUAAAUCUAAUCCUAGUAUUUGUAAUACAGUAUCUGAUAUUACUCCUAACUUACUUGGCUCUAUGCCUAGUGCUACUACAAGAAAUGUGGUUUGUAAUAUGGUGCAGUAUCCGCAUCAACUACUCUAUACGCAUGUUUAGUUAUGUAUAAUAGUUAUCUUUAGUACCAAAAAAAAAUCUCCUCUCUCUUUUUUCCUUCUUUCUAGGAAGAAUAUAAUUACCAAAUAUGAAAGUGGAGCUUAUGUGAAUAGCUGAAAUGAAAAUAUUCUAAUUACUGCGAUAUUAUCUCCUCGAUUGACUCCUCCUAUAAUUAUUUAAAGACCACAAAACUUUAGAAACUCCAUUGAUCAAUUGUCCAAAUACUUUUCAUAUUUCUAAUUUUAGCAGAGAUAUAAUAAUUUCAAUUUUUUAGUAAUUAAAAAACCUAAUGGACGAAAAAAAAGAGACCUACUGGACUUCCAAUUUCCACGGCCGCUAAUCACGCACCAAAUUACUAAACCCAAGAAAAAGAGAGAAAAAAAGAGUGUGAAAAAGAAAGAUAGCGAGAGAGUUGAUUGGUCAAACUCAGGGUCCUUUUGUUUGGCUUUUUCUUUUUAGUUUUCUUCUUGUGAAUGGAUUGCUCGAUCAAAUAUUACAAGGUUGACAAUAUAUUAGUAUUGUUUACUUAGUUUAAGUGAACUAAUUGUCCCCUUUCUGUCGUCUAUCCCAAGAGAUCUGGCAUAAUCACUCCGUUAAUUUCUAUUGUACAUGUUUCUUAUUUAAUUUGUCCAUUUACAGUGGAGCUUGAGUAGGGCAAAAUUUUAAUUAUUGAUCUUUUGACCGGUCGAAAAUCGGACAGCUCGAUGCAUUAAGCUUUUGCUACGUGCAGUGUUCGAAAAGGUCCCGAUUGAAGAUCAUGGAUUUGAAAUCAAUAGAAGAACUUCAAAUAUCAUUUUAUUUUCGCAAGGACUACAGAAGAUCUUUUUCUUCUUUUUGGCUUGGUUGGGGGUUGGGGGGAGGGGGGGAGGACGAUAAUAUUUUUCUUUUUAAUCACAAUGAAUAUUUUGUAAUUGUAUUUCUUAAAAGGAAAAACGAAAGUAGAAAAUCAAACAAUCGGUAUAUUUUUAAAUUAAUUGUUUAAGCAUUGGUUAUCUAAAAUCAGAAGAAACAAAGAUCUUUUAAUUAAUUUUAUUGACUUUUGGAAAAUUUUGUUCACAAAUACCAUCACUCCGUGUCUCUACAGUUUACGUGGUAAGUCUCAAUCAGAUUUGUUGUUAGAACAAAUAGAAAUGAGCAUAUGUUAAUAUUACAAAUAAGUUGAAACAUUUAGGGUCUCCAACAUAAUAUACUGGCGUAUUUUCCGGGUUUUAAACAGUAUUUUUGCUCAAAUUUAUCUUUACAUGAAAACUGGCUAAAUUUCGAUUACUUUUGAAAUUGGGCUAUUUUUGAAUGACCUGUUGUAAAUCUGGCUAUUUUUUAAUUUCUCCUAGGCUUGAUUAGAAGGUAAAAAUUGCACGGGACGCCCUAUUUGGUCGCCCCCAUUUAACAUAUACUCAUUUUUUUAAAAAAGUUUUAACUUGUACCCACUCUUUAAACAACUUCAGCCCUCUUUCUCAUCUUUCUUCUCCUCCUUCAUCAUCAUCAUCAUCAUCAUCUUCUUCUUCUUCUUCUUCUUCUUCUUCUUCUUCUUCUUCUUCGUUCUUCUGUUGCUGUUGGUGUUGCUAUGAAACUUCAGUUCAUGGGAUGAUUGACAUAAGUAUGUUUAUCAGAUUAUUUAAAAAUAAAUUAUAAAUAAUUACGUAAGUUAGUAGACAAUAAUUUGUGAAUAUUUCCACGUACGAAAAGUUUAAGGUCACACUUAGUGAUUCUUUUCAUGAUAAUUCUGUUCUUUUCACGUUUAUUGUUUCCAAAAAUUAUGAUUUAGAUACUGUUGGCAAUCUGAUUAUUUAUCAAAAAUUUCAGCUUAUAAAGUGCUGAAAUUUUUACAAAUGAACAAAUAACUUCAGCAUCUUCUGCUGAANNNNNNNNNNNNNNNNNNNNNNNNNNNNNNNNNNNNNNNNNNNNNNNNNNNNNNNNNNNNNNNNNNNNNNNNNNNNNNNNNNNNNNNNNNNNNNNNNNNNNNNNNNNNNNNNNNNNNNNNNNNNNNNNNNNNNNNNNNNNNNNNNNNNNNNNNNNNNNNNNNNNNNNNNNNNNNNNNNNNNNNNNNNNNNNNNNNNNNNNNNNNNNNNNNNNNNNNNNNNNNNNNNNNNNNNNNNNNNNNNNNNNNNNNNNNNNNNNNNNNNNNNNNNNNNNNNNNNNNNNNNNNNNNNNNNNNNNNNNNNNNNNNNNNNNNNNNNNNNNNNNNNNNNNNNNNNNNNNNNNNNNNNNNNNNNNNNNNNNNNNNNNNNNNNNNNNNNNNNNNNNNNNNNNNNNNNNNNNNNNNNNNNNNNNNNNNNNNNNNNNNNNNNNNNNNNNNNNNNNNNNNNNNNNNNNNNNNNNNNNNNNNNNNNNNNNNNNNNNNNNNNNNNNNNNNNNNNNNNNNNNNNNNNNNNNNNNNNNNNNNNNNNNNNNNNNNNNNNNNNNNNNNNNNNNNNNNNNNNNNNNNNNNNNNNNNNNNNNNNNNNNNNNNNNNNNNNNNNNNNNNNNNNNNNNNNNNNNNNNNNNNNNNNNNNNNNNNNNNNNNNNNNNNNNNNNNNNNNNNNNNNNNNNNNNNNNNNNNNNNNNNNNNNNNNNNNNNNNNNNNNNNNNNNNNNNNNNNNNNNNNNNNNNNNNNNNNNNNNNNNNNNNNNNNNNNNNNNNNNNNNNNNNNNNNNNNNNNNNNNNNNNNNNNNNNNNNNNNNNNNNNNNNNNNNNNNNNNNNNNNNNNNNNNNNNNNNNNNNNNNNNNNNNNNNNNNNNNNNNNNNNNNNNNNNNNNNNNNNNNNNNNNNNNNNNNNNNNNNNNNNNNNNNNNNNNNNNNNNNNNNNNNNNNNNNNNNNNNNNNNNNNNNNNNNNNNNNNNNNNNNNNNNNNNNNNNNNNNNNNNNNNNNNNNNNNNNNNNNNNNNNNNNNNNNNNNNNNNNNNNNNNNNNNNNNNNNNNNNNNNNNNNNNNNNNNNNNNNNNNNNNNNNNNNNNNNNNNNNNNNNNNNNNNNNNNNNNNNNNNNNNNNNNNNNNNNNNNNNNNNNNNNNNNNNNNNNNNNNNNNNNNNNNNNNNNNNNNNNNNNNNNNNNNNNNNNNNNNNNNNNNNNNNNNNNNNNNNNNNNNNNNNNNNNNNNNNNNNNNNNNNNNNNNNNNNNNNNNNNNNNNNNNNNNNNNNNNNNNNNNNNNNNNNNNNNNNNNNNNNNNNNNNNNNNNNNNNNNNNNNNNNNNGUUACGCGAAAAGGUGGGUACGCUUGGAAUUUUUUUUGCAAAGCGAGCACAAGUUAAAACGUGACUCAAAAAGCGGGUAUAGAUACAAAUGCCCCCAAUUAAACGCCUAUACAAUUUUACACGCACUAUUAACAGGUAAAAAAAAUUAAAAAUUAUUGUAUGAUACAUGUGUUUUAAAUUAAUUUAUGGGAGUAGUUAGUAUAACAACUCAUGUCUAAUUUGUGGCUCUAGGUAUCUUGUCUUGUGGUAACGUUAAUGCAAUUCUAGGAGUACACAGUCAAUCAAGCCAUAAUUUAUUGUAGGUCUAAGUCAUUAAAGGACAUGGCCUGCAACAAGGGUCCAAUCUACCAUACUACAUCUCUAACACUGUGAUGCUAUGGUCAUAAUUGUAUUUUGUAUUUAAGGUAGUGACUUAGCCAUCAAUAAGAUGAGCGCAAUAUAUGAAAGAUCAUAAUAUAAAUACUAGUAGAGACAAAAAGUGCUAAGUAAUCUCUUUAUAUCUGUUUAGUUACCCAAUAUUUGCGUUAGUUAGAAGUACUUGAUAUCCGGUAAAACAAUUUAGAUGCGCUCAAGUUGACAUGUUUACCAUGGUUAUAAAGAAAAGUCUGCAUUCUUUGAUAACGUCCAUCCCCUAGAAGACAAUGCUCCCUCUUAAGAACAAUGCUAUAGACUUUUGGAUUCUUAAUUUCUCAUAAAGUAUGCACAUGCAUCACUUUAAGAACAUAUAACUAACUCUACUGGACUUUUUGCACCAAUUCAUAAAUCUUGUUUAAUAUGAGUGGUUGAACUGCACACUUCCUAAUAGUCGUUUCUUUGAAAAAUUGGAUCAAAAUUUAAGUUCUUUUAUUUCUUUGGGGGCCGAUAAUAUGAUGAAGCAUUGAUUAUAAUUCUUCAAAUAGUUCAUCAACUUUUCAGCCAAGGUUCAUUAAUAGUUAAAAAUAUUUAUUUCUAAUACAACUAUAAAUAUAUACGCCAACAAUUUGUAGGUUGUGGUCGCCUUGAUCAUAAAUCCAAAUAACGAAUGGAGGCACCUAUCAAUACAUUUUGAAAUAAAUAUUAGUAAAUACAAAGUAGUAAAAAGCAGAAAAUGAGGCAGAAGAGGAAAAUAUAUUGAGUGGGAUGUGCCAUUAUUUUCCACCAACUCAACCGCCAAUUACUUCCCGACCCAUCCAAAUCCAAUAAGAAGUCCACCUUCUUUUUCUUUUAAUUUCCAUGUAUGCUUUUUUCGUAUCAAGCUCUUGGAGAAACACAUAAGAUAGCAAAUAAUUCGAUGCUAAAAGAUGAGAUCAAAGACUAAAAUUUUUCCAGAGAAAGAAAAAGAACUUUGUAAUCCCGAAUUAUCUUGAAAAACUUACCGACCUUAUUAUUUAAUCUCUCCUCUUAAAUUUCGGAUUGCUCUCAGUGCAUAAGUGGCCCGUCCUCUUUAAAUUAUAGGAAAAUCAUGCUUCAUGGAACUUCUUAGAACCACCGUCUAAAUUUUGACUCCGUAAGAGAAGUCUUAAAAAGAAAAUAGCCUCCGGCCAGAAUUUUGAAGUAUGCUCGUCCAAAAAUUGAAAAAUGAUUCUGGCAAUCGCCAAAAUUUCGAAGCACCAUGAAUUCAGCCACAAUACUGAUAAAAUCUAGUGAACGGUCACAAUUUGUAGCAAAAUUAUGACGAUCACUAGAUUUUUUAGCUUUGUGGCUGAAGAAUCCAGGGAGUGUCAAGAUUUUGACAUAAAUCCUAACAAUCACAAAACUUGUUGAAUUUCUUGAAUUUCUGGCAAGUAUGCUUUAAAAUUUGGCCCGGACUAUUUUUCGAAUACUUCUAUUAUCGGAUUGUUUACCUCGAAAAAUAUGAGUAACAAUUAAAGAUAUUUUUAUGGUUUUAAAGAUACGUGAUAUAUUUUAAUACUAGUGAUUAAACGAGUAAUAUUGAGCUUAAGUAAGAAAAAUUAAUGAACUAAAUCAGUGUUGCUGAAACAGUAGGGGGCUUCGAGCUCGUCUAUCCAAGGACCUCGAGGUUAGUUAAGACCAAAAAGGUAUGAACAAUAAAGUUGAAAAGUAAUUGUUGAGCACGUUAAACAAGAGAAGAAUAAGAAUGUUCUAUUAAUGUAAAAUGAUCUGAUCUUUACAAAAUGAUUGGGGUCCCUUUUUAUAGGAGGAGAAAACCCCAAUAUAGUACCUUGCUCAUAAAGGUAAAGAAUCUUAUUGGUACAAGUGUAUAACGGUCUAGUAUGGACCUGUACUAUUUCGUACAACCCUUAUCCUAUAAUUAAUUCCCGCAUCCACGUGUCCUUGAGAAAUUCCCUCUCUUUCUUGAUUGACUUCGAUAUUAUGAUGUCCUCGAUGCAGGUCGUGUCAGGCCUUUGAUCAGCUUCCUCGAGCUAGGUGUCCCUUAGCCGGAUCUUCCCCAUACCUCGAGUCUCCCGGACUCGAGCCUAUAGCCCAAUUUAAGACUCCAAAAUCAUACUCCUCGAUUUUGACCGUAUACAGAUAGUCCCCGCAUUUCUUAGAAUAAAAUGAUAUGAAAAGAUUCGAGCCUCGAUUUUCCCGAGCCUCUAGCGAUGACGUCAUGCUCGUGACGUAGGCGUUUACAAAGAUCGAAGCGUCCCGUCGGUUCAUCUCCCCAGAAGCAUUGAAUGUACCGCCGGUCCAUUUCCCCAAAAUCAUUGAAUGCGCCGUCGGUCCAUUUCCCCAAAAGCAAUGAAUGCGUCGUCGGUUUCGUCGUUGUCUCUCUAUAAAUAAGGGGUUACUUGGCUGAGCAAACUAUACUCAUUCCUUAUUCAUCAACUUUUAGCCCUUUCCCUUCUCUAUCUCUUCCUUUAAUCCCCUAUCUUUAUGGUUCAAAUCUCUAACCACAAGGUCAUAUGGCAACAAUUUUACCAGUUACGCCAUGACUCCAUUUUUUCAAAGUUUUACCCCACUAAGUGGGAUUAUAGUGGGUUGUUGUUGUUGUUAUUAUUAUUGUUGUUGUUGUUGGCUUGAGACAACGAGAGAGGGGCACCUAAAUCCUCCCAUAUCAGAAGAUAUGCGAACUUUAUAUUGCUGCUCAUCUUUCUUAACUUCAACCUGAUGUGGCACCUCGUUCUCUUUGCUUUCCGCGCAAUAAGGUGGCACUAUCAUCUACUUACUUUUGCAUCCCACACCGGUACAACGUCUCAAAAAGUGACUUCACAAUAGUUGUGCUGACAAAACCCAUACUCGCCAAGUUUUUCACCAUGCCACAAUUUCCUCUGAAGAUCGAGAUGGAGUCCCCGAGGAGGAGGUUCCCGAAGAUGUCACUCUCGAGGAUAUGCCCCCUAAAGUAGAUUAGAUUCUUAGCUUUUUGUUUUUUCUUCUUUGUUUCUGUGUAAAGGCCCCUCAUUGUUUUUGUAAACAUUUUUUGUCAAUAUAAAAAUUUCUUCAUUUUAUCUUCGAUUUGUGUGGAAUUCCAUUCUGCCUUUGUUUAUGAAAAAUUCGAGUGUAUAACUCUAAUGAUUAGUCUGAAUACUGGACCCGGAACAUAAUAAACCUUUAGGUUUUAAUCGACUAACACCUCUUAAGGUUCUAUGUUAAUCCUUGAGCUAAUCUUAGAUUGAUUCGGUGCGAGCUCGAGACACUGGGCUCCUGAGCCCGAGUUAAAUGAGAACAAGGUCUUGAAUUUAAAAUAAAUUUACCUCUUUUAGGCUUCAUAGAUGGCCCCCGAGUGAGAAUUUUCUCGAACUUGGGUAGCCCUUGGGCUUAAUAAUCGAACGAGUAUUUGCUUGAACUCAAAAUAAAGUUAACCCUUAGGCUACACAGGUAGUCCCCGAGUGGGAAUUCUCUUGAGCUCGGAUAGCCCUUGGGCUUAGUAAUCGAGUGAGUACUUGCUCGAACUCGGAAUGAAAUCAGCCCUUAGGCUGCACAGGUAAUCCCCGAGUGAGAAUUCUCUCGAGCUCGGGUAGCCCUUGGGCUUGGCAAUCGAGUGGGUAUUUUCCCGAACUCGACUUCUAUGCUGUCCUUAAUGAUUUUCGACAAAUUAAUUUCCGAUGCCUCGGUCCUAAUUCCAAUAUCAUGACAUAAGCGGUUGAAGUGACUGAAAAGUCGCUUUUUGUACGAUUCCCGAAACCAUUAAUUGAAGGCGGCUGACGGUCGACCUUUUGGCUUCCUUAGCACGCGUUAUAAAUAGAUAGAUCCCACAACCUUACAAACUUUAUUCCCAUAUUUCUUUUAAAGUCUCACUUAACCCUUUCCAAUUUCCUUGAGCUCUCCCUUUUCCUUUUUAAUAGCAUUUUUCAUUUUCCCGGAUCUACCGCAUAAAAAUGGCUAAAAAUUUUAAAUUUGUUCCUCAAAAGGAAAAAACUUUAUCAUCUUCUCGAUCGACUAAAAGUAAACUGGUAGUGCCUCCUAGUAUCGAGGAGUGUACUCCCUCGCCAUGUGAAAUAACAGACGAUUUUAAAAUUGAGAGACCUGUCUCGACACCAGGCUGAUGUGAGCCCAUGUCUCGAUAUGUUUGUCUGGUGACCGAGGCUGAGCUUAUGUAAGUAAAGGGGGAUUGCAAAUGGAAAAAAAGAAAGAAAUAAUGAUUCCUCCCUCCGAGGAGGACAUUACCACGUAUAAAACGGGCUACCUGAGCGUAUACACCUACCCAUUUACGUUGGACCCUGCAAUUCCGGCUCAGGGCCCUAUAAAUCCAAAUAUUCUUGACUUUUGCCAACGAUACCAAGUGACGCUCGGCCAGAUCUACCCCUCCUUACGGCAAAUCGUUUACUUAAUCGGGUUUUUCUCGAGCCAAAUCGAGGGGAUGUCCUUCACCCUCGAUCAUUUGAUCUGAUUGUAUAGUCCCCAACUUUAUCGGGGUGCAUGAUAAAGUUGCAACGCUGAUCGUUAAAUUCUCUGUUUGUUAGUAUCCAUGAGGACAAAAACCGUGGGUGGAUGAGCCGGUUUGUCCGAGUCAAGACCUAUGAUCUUAUUCUUGCUGAUUGGAUGUUGUUCCCCGAGAAGUGGAACAUGAAGCGUGAGUAUACCUUGCUUCCUUUUCUUUUCUCGACUUUAUAUUUUCCUUUGUCCUAAACUCUUUAUGUUGAUGUAGCCGCUGCUUGGUUUCCUGAUGGGGUCCCAGACGUCGAGCUGGGUCUGAAAGCUAGCCUCCGCCUCCCCUUACUCGGAGCGUUGCUGGCAAGACUUGUCCAAGGGUCGAUGGGAGGCAAAAAACCAUGGUAAGUUCUUCGUUUGUUUUCCAGUGUUUCUGUUACGGGAUGCUGAUCUUGAUUUUACUCAGGUCUCGAAAACGCCGUUGAAUUGAGGACGGAUCCAGCUGGUGAAGUGGAGGCUUUGAAACCUCCCAAAGAAAGAAAAAGAAGAAGGGAGACAUCUAAAUAUCCCUAGAAGCCAAAGAAGAACGUGGCUCGAAAGCCCAAGGCCGACACAUCGGCCUUAUCUCCGGAAGCGGCCUAACGCCUUCGGGAACAGGAGGAAGAAUUAGAUGAUGAUUUCCUAUUGGUAAAUUGUAAAAGAAAGAAUUCCAAUUCUUUAAAGCCUAUCGAGCCGGUGGCGGUCGAUGAGGCCCACUCUAAAGCUGAAGAGAUCUCCAAAGGGAGUUCGAACAAAUUCCCCGAACAAUUGCCCAAAAAGAAGGCGCUUCAUUUAGGGGAUCAUUCUGAGGGCGAGGCUAAACUUCCUAACCCGAGCCUCUCUAAAUAAAAGAAAAUGCCCCGAGCGGAUCACUCGGGGUGAUCAACGUGGAUGAUUCUCCCCUUGGCCCCAAGUUCUCCGAUGGAUAAAUCCAAGAGGCUGUGAAUAUGAGAUCUUCUAGAGCGCAAGGAAACCAUGAAGGGCAUGACAUCUUUCAAGGAUGCCUCGCAGGGCUUGAAGACGGCUCCAACCAAGAUGCUUUCUUCAUUUUUGAACAAGUAAGUUUUCUAUUUUUACGGCUACGCCGUUGUUUUAGUUGUUCUGAAUGUUCUUUACUCCCUCUUUAUGAAGGCUGCGGUACUCCAAAAAAGGGAAUUUUCCAAGUCCCAAGAUGAUCUUGCUCGGUGCGAGGUCGAGCUUAAGAAGACUUUGGAGGAUAGGGAUGUCGUCAAAGCCUUAUAUGCUAAAAAAGAGUUGGAGAUCCAUAAUCUUCGAGCUGAGUUGACGCGGGUGUGCCAAGAUCGAGCCGAGUAUAUUGGGAAGGUAAGAUAGUUCCCGAGAGUUUAUUAUGCACUCGUUUUGUUUUAGUAGCUAACAUCGUUAAUUUUGCAGUUCAGUCAGAAAAUCGAUGUGGAGGUGCAACUUUGGGAGGAGCUUAAGAUAAAAGAAGCCGAUGCCCUGGGGUUGAGGCGAGGUAUGGAUGAUCUCGCUUCUGAGAAGGAAAAUCUAAAAGAGCAGUUAGCUUCGUUUAAAUUCCAACUUCGAGGCGCGAAGGAGGAGAGCCUAGCUCGGGGCCUUGAAAUCGAGGAGCUCAAAAUCAGAUCUGCUGCUAUGCUGGCUAAGGCUAAAUCUGAUGUUGUGGCAAUUAUGGCUUCGUAUCGAGCUGAUGCCAAGGCAACUAAUGCUCGGGAAAGGGAUAUCUCUUCUACGACAGAGGUUAAAUUAGCAAGUGCCCUCGACCAUGUUAGACGACAAUCCCGGAGGAUGACCCUCGAGGAAAUACUUGCCCGCGACUUCGACCUUUCGGCCGAUAUUGAAGCGGAGAAGGCUUUAGAGGAAGAGGCGACCGUUCUACUUACCGAUGAGGAUGAUUCAGCCAGUGCCUCCGAGGAUGAAAGAGAUAGGGAUGAAGCCGCCGAGGAUGGGGCUCCCCAAGAUACGACUCCUGAAGAUGCAACUGCUAAGGGUGUGGCCCCGAAGUAGUUUUUAGGUUACUUUAUUUUGUUUCCUUGUAGGCCUUCCUUGUGUAAAUAUCAUCUUUUGGAAAUGUGAGGAGGACUUUUAUAUCGUCUUCGGCUAGUGCUGGUUUUAACAUGGCCUGUAUUCAACAUCGCCUUUAUUUAUGGAAAACUUCAUUUGAAUGCCGGUUCGAGGAUUAGUUUGGGGUAUUACAAACCCUUACAUAUUUAUAAUAAUUUUUCGAGCCGAGUUUAAAUCAACUCGUUGUUGGCUCAGGAUUUUGUGAACCUCGAGUACGAAUCGAAAUGAAAGCGGAGUCUUCGAACUAUAAGUUUUAGGCCCCUUAGCCUUUUGAGGUUGGCCCUUAGGCUCUUACAUAUCGUCCCUUAGACUCUUAUUUAUCGGCCAUUAGGCUCUUAUAUAUCGACCCUUAGGCUCUUAAGUUGGGCCUAUUUGGCCUCUUAGAAUGGCUAUAUAAUUUUUCCCUCAUUUUGGCUUAAAAGACUUAGUGGAAAUUAUGCCUUAGCACAUGUUUUUUUGCACCCAUAGGUUUUUUCCAGUAUUCUAGGUUGAUUGAAAAGAAGCCUUGAAUACUUGUUGGCCAUUCCUUAGGUAACAUAUAUGUGUUGCCUCGUUAAAAACCUUGCCGGUAAAACCCAUCUGGGACAAAAUCCGAGCUAAGGGAAAAAGAGUGCAACGUAUGCUCUAUAACCUACGACCUUCGUGUAGGAAGGGGCGUUCUCGAGAGCACGGGCCUUUGAGAGCCUCUAUUGUGCUAAUACUAUAAGUUCCUUUACCAAUGACUCUGAGGUCUUGCUGUCCGUGACCAUAUCUCCGAGGACCUUGGCCUGGUCGAUGAUGACUUCGGUGCCCUGAUUUGAUGUCGCCAAGGCCGAGAAGCUCAGUCGCCCCAACUCCAAGGGAACGCCUUUUUGGAAUGUUCUUUGUGUUUUAGUGCCCCGAAACGUUGACUAUUUCCUUCAAAUAAAUUAAAGUGGUCCUCUGCGUACAGGGACUUAACCAGCCAAAUCAUCAAUAUAAGUUUUAAUUAUUUUACAUAUUUAUCCAUCGAGCGGAAUCCCUGUCAUAUUGAAGCAAUGUGAUCUAUAUCGUCAACAAGAAACUAAAUGAGUUUUUUCCUGAGAGCGGGGACUACUUCUCGUUCUCAGGUGUACCUUUCCUUUCAGCGGUAGCAUCGGGCUUUUUGGGAACAACGAGGGUUCGAGGAUCUGGAGAACUCCUUUCUUCGCCUCCGAUUACCUAUUAUUUUGCUUCCGUUGAGGCGCGAAGCUGUGACUACUACUUUGCGACCUGCUUACCUUUGGAGGUCGAUGUCUCCGAGGUCAAGGGUUCCGGUAUCGGCACCACUUCCUCGAUUGUGAACAUCUUUUUUGCAGCAUGUUGUUCUCCGUGGACUGUUUUUAUUCCUUCCUCUGUCGGGAAUUUUAUCAUCUGAUGGAGAGUCGAAGGCACUGCCCUCAUAUUGUUUAUCCAUGGCCUCCCGAGAAAUGCGUUAUACCUCAUGUCACCUUCGAUGACACGGAAUCUGGUGUCUUGUAUGGUCCCAGCUACGUUUAUAGGCAAGAUAAUUUCCCCCUUCGUUGUUUUACUUGCCAUGUUGAAGCCAUUUAGCACCCAGGAUGCAGGUACAAUCUGAUUUUGCAAACCAAGUUGUUUCACGACCCUCGAUCUGAUUAUGUUCGCCGAGCUACCUGGAUCCACUAAAACACGUUUAACCUGAAUUUUAUUCAAAAGGAUAGAGAUUACCUGGGCGUCGUUGUGAGGCUGGGAUAUGUCUUCUGCUUCCUUGUCGCAAAAUGAUAGGGCGUCCUCGGGCACAUAGGUCCGAGUUUGUUUUUCCUUUGUGAUGGACGCUUUAGUGCAUUUGAAUGUAGAUCCCUAUGGGACGUCGGCUCCUCCGAUGAUCAUGUGAAUGACAUGUUGGGGGUUUUCAGGUUCAUUCUUCCUAUUUGCAUCUCUUUCCCGGAAAUGGUUUUUGGCCCGGUCACUGAGAAAUUCAUGAAGGUGCCCCUCCUUGAAUAGUCGAGCUACUUUCUCUCUGAGCUGUCUGCAAUCCUUGGUCUUAUGCCCGUGAGUGCCAUGGUACUUACACAUUAAGUUGGGGUUUCUCUGAGAAGGAUCUGUUUGUAUGGGCUUAGGCCAUCUAGUAUCUUUAAUUUUACCAAUGGCUGAGACGAUAUUUGAGGCGUCGACACUGAAGUUGUAUUAUGAUAACUUGGGGCCCUCCACUGGCCCCGGGUGCCUGUCAGACUCGAUUUUGCCCACGAUUCCUGGGAGCUUUGGCCUCGAUCUAUUCUUUGAUCAUUCCGAGGUGCAUUGCACCUUGAAAUGUUCCUUCUGUCUUCGACGUACGGUUGAUAUCUUUCCUUGUUGAAUCUUGAUCCCCGGUCUGUGUCCCUCGGUGGUUUGACUGCGAAUCUGUUCGGGUGAACUGAGCCCGAGGGGGCUCCCAACUGGUCAUCCUCAACUCUAAUUUUCGAUUGAUACCGAUUGUUCAUAUCCGACCAUGUCACUGCUGGAUACUCGAUCAAGUUCUGCUUUAGCUGUCGAGAUGCCAUCGAGCUCCUUUCAUUCAAACCUUGCAUGAAGGCCCGAACCACCUAGUCAUCAGAGACCGGGGUUAAUUCCAUCCUUUCCAUCUGAAACCGGGACACGAACUCCCUUAGCAUUUCGUCGCCCCUCCGCCUUAUCUUGAAUACGUCCGAUUUUUUUUGUGGCCACCUUUAUGGCCCCGGCGUGUGCUUUUACGAAGGCACCGCUAACAUAGCAAAUGAAUCAAUAGAGUUAGGAGCUAAGUUGUGAUACCACAUCAUAACUCCUUUUGAUAGCGUUUCUCCAAACUUUUUCAAUAAUACUGACUCGAUUUCGGCUUCAUUCAAGUCAUUUCCUUUGAUCCCGCAAGUGUACGAAGUAAUAUGUUUGUUAGGUGUCCCUUAGCCGGAUCUCCCCAUACCUCGAGUCUCUCGGACUCGAGCCUAUAAUCCGAUUUAAGACUCCAAAAUCAUACUCCUCGAUUUUGACCGUAUACACGGGUAAAAAAAUUAACAGUGGCACAAAAGUAUUCUAUUUUUUUCAUUCUCCCUAACAAUUGAUCUUUAACUCUUCCCAUUUUUCUUUCUCUAUUAGUUUGAGGUGUUUCAAGUACGAAUUAUUUUUUUUAGGUAGGGGCCGUUGGACCUUAAACUUGCAUUACCAUUUAAUAGAGGGGGGAAAUUAUUAUUUGUACUCGAUACAUGCAUCGAGAUAUUGGAGAAAUUUAUUUAGAUUUUUAUACAGCAGUUUGGGUAAAUAAACACGCUAAACAACUGUGAUUAAUUGACAAAAGCGUAAGUAAUUAAGUAUGAUGAAGUGAUAUGUAUCUUCACUUGAAUCUAACUUAUAUACACUAUCAUAUAAAUUGUUUUUAUAUUAUCCGUAUAAUUUAACAUGCUGUAACAAAUUAUGAAUUUUAUUUUUUGAUUAACUAGUUUUAUUUAUUAUAAAUAAUUACUUAUACUUAUCUUUUCAGGUGACCUCAUAAUAUAAAAUUAAACGAGAUGUCAGUAUAUUAGAGUUACUCUUUUCAAUUUAGGUUGUAAGAAAAUGAUUUGGUAGUGUAAAGACGAGUGUAGAUAAGUAUUUUCCAUAGGUAAGCGUGCACAAACGGGAAUGAGUAGUAGGAAAAUUUCAGCAUAAGAAGUAAAAGGGGUAGCCCUAUUGCCAUUAGUCUAUUAGACAAUAGAUGAAGAGUUAGGCACAUGGGUAUGAAAGGUUCAGUGUCCCACACCCAUUGCCACUCUUUCCUUUCACAGCCACUCCUCAAUCCACAAUCCCCGCUUCUUUUCCUUCCAAUUUUCCCUUCAUCUCCUCACUCGUUUUCCUUUUUCUUUCUUCCCCUUCUCUUUUUCUUCUUCUUUAUAUUACUCUUUCUUUUUGUAGUUUUGAUAAUUAACCUCUUAUUUGGUAAGAGGGACGGAGGGAUUCUUUUCUUUUUCUUUUUGAUUAUUAUUCCGCAGCCUCAAAUUCACCAUUACUCAAAUGGUCCCUCGAUUAUUCCAAAUUAUCUCCUAAAAUUACUUUUCUUUUAUUUCUAACAACAAAGUCACUGAACUAUGCAUAUUGCAUUCAGAAAGACACUCAAUUAGAUUUUCCAAAUUUUGAAGUGUCUUAUACCUAUUUUACCCUCUAAAUUAUAAACAUUUAUCUUCUUUUUAUUUUUUUUAAACUUUUUAAUAUUAUGAUUUUUUCCUUUUUAAUUUACAUUAUGGAUCUUUAUCCUUAUAGAAUUAAACUAGAUAUUAUNNNNNNNNNNNNNNNNNNNNNNNNNNNNNNNNNNNNNNNNNNNNNNNNNNNNNNNNNNNNNNNNNNNNNNNNNNNNNNNNNNNNNNNNNNNNNNNNNNNNNNNNNNNNNNNNNNNNNNNNNNNNNNNNNNNNNNNNNNNNNNNNNNNNNNNNNNNNNNNNNNNNNNNNNNNNNNNNNNNNNNNNNNNNNNNNNNNNNNNNNNNNNNNNNNNNNNNNNNNNNNNNNNNNNNNNNNNNNNNNNNNNNNNNNNNNNNNNNNNNNNNNNNNNNNNNNNNNNNNNNNNNNNNNNNNNNNNNNNNNNNNNNNNNNNNNNNNNNNNNNNNNNNNNNNNNNNNNNNNNNNNNNNNNNNNNNNNNNNNNNNNNNNNNNNNNNNNNNNNNNNNNNNNNNNNNNNNNNNNNNNNNNNNNNNNNNNNNNNNNNNNNNNNNNNNNNNNNNNNAUUGUGUAAAUAAAUUUUUGAAUUUUUGUUGUUAAUACUAAAAAGUUUUAAAAAAUAAAAAGAAAAUAAAUAUUUAUAAUUCAGAGGGUAAAAUAGGUAUUUGGCAAUCCAAAAUUUGGAAAAUAUAGUCGAGUGACCUUCUGAGUAAUUGACUCCAAAUUCAAGAUAACGAGUGAUUUUUUUUAUUUAUCCAAAUGGAACUCGAAUUUUUGACUUAAAAAUUAGAAGUAGAGGAGGCUAAUCACUUGUCGGCUGGUUUCUUACUUUGCAUUGUCAUAAAAAAAAAACUUUUUUAGAUGAAUUUUGAACAAGUUAAUGUUAGUUAUUUUUACCUUAAUUUAAAAACAACAUAGUUACAUUAUACGGUGGUACGAGCUCACUAGGGUAAAGAAAAGCCCAUCUUAACCAUUGAAUGGAGGAAAUUUAAAACUUUACCUAACUAAAAUAAAAUUAGUAAAUUGCCACAAAAAAAAAAAGUUAUCAAAUUUAUGUUAUAUUGGAUUGUCAAUCGAGUUAUUGUAGUGGGAAUUUUGACCUUGGAUUACUUACUUGGAACCUACUACCUCGGGAUCCUUUACCAUAUGUAUCAAAAGUUGCGUAAACCCUAAAAGCCUAAAGUUAUAUUCUUUAGAAUCAUUACUGAUUUUGUUGUGUUCUUGAAAAGUUAAUUCAUUUAAAAUUAUCAAAAGAAAAGGAAAACUGCGAUCUUUCAGCUAAAGCACAAGGAUUACGCUUUGAGCCGCAUGACUCAAUCUUAAGGAUAAAGUUAAAUGCAUAUAAUUGUAGUUUUCUGCAAGUGCAUAUAUAAUAAACGUACGGCUCUAGAGGAAAUUACAAAAACUAAGGAAAAAUAAAAUGAUAAAGAGGAAAUCAGUAAUUAGAAAUAUAUUAUAAAUGAUUAUCUACCUUCUUUUCAAUUAUCAAUUAACUUACUAUAAAUAGUUACUCCUAUUUGAAGUGAUAUAAUAUAAUAUUAUAAUUCUUUUACCGUAACAGAAAUUAAACUCUAAACAAAUUAGAAACAUCCAUCGAACAAAUGAACCCUUUUGUUAAAGUGCUAUAAUUACGGAAGGGACCACUUUCUUCCUCCAUUUUUCCUGUCCCCAUUUGCACCUAAUAAGGAGGGAGAGAUAAUCACUCCCCACUCAAAAAUAACAAUAAAAAUAAAAAAUAAAGAAAAAAGGAAAAGUAAAUGUUUAAAAAUUUGUAACAAAUAAGAAAUUAAAAAAAAAAGUACACACACAAAAGAGAGAUAAAGGGUCUCUAUAUAAAGACAGUUCAUUGCAAGUUCACAGCCAUAGAGGAAUUACACAACACAAUUUCACAUCUCUCUCCUAUUCUUUUUUUCCUAUCCAAAAUGGCACCCAUUGCCAAACAUUUCUCCCUUAUCUUUCUCCUUACUCUCUUGUCUUCGCUCCAAAUUCAUGCAAGGGACGGUCAAUUCUUCAACAAAAUCCCCAGCAACAAUGGUGAGAAAGAGACACAAACAGUUAUUCCCAACAAAGAACAAGAACCUAAUUUCAUGCCUGAGAAUGAAAAUGGAGCCUAUGGCCUAUAUGGUCAUGACUCUGUCACCACUCCUAACACCAACAACCCCACUGUCCACGAUCUUCCUAACAGCAAAUACCUUCCCAAGAAUUACAACCCUGUUUCUUAUGUGACUGUCCCUGAGGACAACACUAAUGAAAAUGAUUUGAACAACAAUGAGUUUACAACCAAGCACACUACCACCACCACUGCCUCUAAUAACAACCAAUUCUACAGUGGUCCCACCACUUACGGCAACAACAACAACCAACAGUACUAUAAUGGCGUCAGCGAUUAUAGUACUAAGCGCAACAACCAGCAGCAGCAGCAACAGUUCUACAGCGGCGACAACUUUUACAGUAACAACCAGCAGCAGCAGCAGUACUACAACGGUGGCAACUCUUACAACAAUAACAACGACAACAACAACAAUGAAGAGGAGGAGGAGUACUACAACAACAAUGGUGGUAACACUUACUACAACAACAACGAGCAACAGGAGUUGAGCGAAACAAGAUUAAGUGCCAGAACUUACAGCACCAACCCAACAAAUUACGGAAACAAUUACAACAACAACAAUCAAGAACAGAGCUACUCCACCAACUACAAUAACUACAACACUGGCAAAAGUAAUUACAGGGUGCACCAGCAGCAGGGGAUGAGUGACACAAGAUUCUUGGGAAAUGGGAAAUUCU